CUCUUAAUAAGUGUGUGGCGUCUAUUUUAUUUAUGCUUGUAUCAAUUAUUGGUGCCACAAGAAAUUACCUUCAUUCAAUUGAAAUAGUUUGAACAGAUUUAUUUUUUCACUGUUUGAUGUAAACAUCAAUGCUGCAGAAAAUAUUACAACAUAAAUUGUGUAGAUGUUUCUAAAUCCGCUUAGAUAUAUAUAGAUGUGUGUGUGUGUGUGUAUGUUACGUGUGUGCGUGUAUAUAUGUGUGAGAGAGAGAGAGGGUGAGGGAGUGUGUCAUAUAUAAAUAUAUACGUGUGCGCUUUACAUGAGUGUAGGCCCACACACGCACGAAUACACACACAUCUAUGUAUCUAUCUAUCUAUUUAUCUAUCUAUCUAUCUAUAUAUAUAUAUAUAUAUAUAUAUAUAUAUAUAUAUAUAUAUAUAUAUAUAUAUAUAUAUAUAUAUUUAUUCAUUUAUUUAUUUCAUUUAUUUUUAUUUUAUCUAGUUUCAGCUCACGAGCUGUUGCCAUGCUGGGGCACCUCUCUCUCUCUCUCUCUCUCUAUAUAUAUAUAUAUAUAUAUAUAUAUAUAUAUAUAUAUAUAUAUCUGAGCUGAAACUAGAAGAAAAAAAUAUAUAUGUAUAUAUAAUAUGUGCAGCAGGUAUUGUAUGCAUAAUGAGCAUACAAUGAGUUAUCUGUACGAAAGUAUAUAGACCUGACACGUACAUGUAUUUCACAUUAAAACCAAUCUACAUAUUAAAACAAAUUUUGAUUACAAUAGUUAUACUUAUAUUCCCGUUAUUACUGUACUCACACAUAUAUUUGCACACACUUGCAUAUAUGUAUGUAUAUAUAUGUAUGUAUAUAUGUAUAUAUAUUAUGUAUAUAUAUAUAUGUAUAUAUAUAUAUAUAUAUAUAUAUAUAUAUAUAUAUAUAUAUAUAUAUAUAUAAUUAAAUAGGUGAAUGAAUUAUCCUAUGUUUAUCGUCAGCAUGGAAAAUUCGUUUAACCGAAACCUUGGUGAAAACCUUGGAAUGAAAACAUGUUGUCUUCGAAACAUAUAUCGAGAGUAAAGGAAUUUUGUUAACAUCUCGACUCCAUUCUUUCAUUUAUAUAUAUAGCGGACUCGCGGUCAUAGGAUCGCGGUUUCGAUUCCCAGACCGGGCGUUGUGAGUGUUUAUUGAGCAAAAACACCUAAAGCUCCACGAGGCUCCGGCAGGGGAUGGUGGUGAUCCCUGCUGUACUCUUUCACCACAACUUUCUCUCACUCUUACUUCCUGUUUCUGUUGUACCUGUAUUUCAAAGGGCCGGCCUUGUCACUCUCUGUGUCACGCUGAAUAUCCCCGAGAACUACGUUAAGGGUACACGUGUCUGUGGAGUGCUCAGCCACUUACACGUUAAUUUCACGAGCAGGCUGUUCCCGUUGAUUCGGAACAACCGGAACCCUCGUCGUCGUAACCGACGGAGUGCUUCCAUAUAUACAUACCCAUUUGUGUAUAUAUAUAUAUAUAUAUAAAUAUGUAUACAUACAAAUGUUUCAAUUUACGCUGUAUAUGUAUAUAUAUAUAUAUAUAUAUAUAUAUAUAUAUAUAUAUAUAUAUAUAUAUAUAUAUAUAUACAUUGUUUCCUCCGGUUGAUUCCAUGAGAACGGACAGCAGCUUGUUGUCAGAGGUCUCACGGGUUCUCUUUCAGCAGAUUACAAACUUUGAUACCAGGUUACUAAUCAUCGUGGAAGAUAUUCAACACCGGAGUGCCAAUGUCAAAAUUCUAGCUCCCACAGCAGAGGAGUCUUUGAGCCUUGAUCAGCUCUCACGUCAAUUCCGAUUUACCAGACAUGUUUCUCGAACUUUCUUGUUAGUGCACCGAGUACCACAACAACUACUUGGAUGACUCUCUUCAUAAUCCACAUUCUCGCAAUUUCUGCUUUUAGUAGUCUGCACUUUUCCAUCUUUCCCAAUUCUUUGUUACUUAUGUGUGCAUCCCAAGUCAUUGCAAUAUUUAUACUCUUGGUUCCCUCUUUUUCCUCUAUCUACCACAAUCUCUGCUAUCCGAUGAUUGAUUAGAGGGUCACAUUGGAUUGUAAUAUCCCAUAGUAUCUUACAUUCAUUUUUCUAUGACUCCUUCUGAUUCAUGUUCGUACCCUUUCCGUGUUGUGUUCAGGCCGUACUUUGGACAUAGUCACCAUAUUCUUAUUAUCAUGGUUGCUGUUGUUGCUGUUGUUGUCCUUGUUGUUGUACGUGAUGGUACGUGGUCUAGCUAAGAUGUUACAUUCACAAUCACGAGGUCAUUGUUUCAAAACCUAGAUCGCGUGUCGUAUUCUUGAGAAAAACACUUCAUCUCCGGUUGCUCUACGAUCAAUUCGACCGCUGGUGUGUGGCACACUGUGCCCCUGUUCAAGCAACCACAAUUUGACGGUGGGAGAGAGCUUAUGUACAGCAUCUGUGCAGUUCGUUCGACAAAAGAGAAAAUUCAUACGUCGUCUUUGAUGGGAGAGUCAAUCUUAUAUUAUAUAUGCGAGGGUGUUCUGUAAAGUUGUUAGUUCUCUAUCUCUCCCUCUCUCUCUCUCUCUCUCUCUCUAUCUAUCUAUCUAUCUAUCUAUCUAUCUAUCUGUUUAUGUAUCUAUCUAUCUAUCUCUCUCUCUCUCUCUCUCUCUCUAUAUAUAUAUAUAUAUAUAUAUAUAUAUAUAUAUAUAUAUAUAUAUAUAUAUACAUACAUAUAUACAUACACACAUAUACAUCUAUGUAUACCUAUAUACAUAAAUACAUACACAACACACACACAUUCACACACGCAUAUAUAUAUAUAUAUAUAUAUAUAAUCUUCACGCUAAGCAUAUCCAUACCAUGAAGCCCCUGAAUACGUUGCAGCAUAUGUGUGUAUGUAUGUAAAUGUGUGUGCAUAUAUGUAUGCAUGUAUGUAUGAAUGUAUGCAUGUAUCUAUACAUGUGCGUGUGUGCAUAUGUGUUUGAUAUAUAUUCAUCGUUCUAAACUUCCCUUUUGUUACUUAUUAACCUCCAACAAUAAAACUGGACAGAAUAUUGUAAUAUUGUUUGCUUAUAUAUUUUUACUUUUGUUUCUUCAAAUUCUUCAAUGAUGUCGGUUAAUUGAGAACAUUCUCUUGAAUUGUGUUAUAUAUUUUCUUUCCAUGCAACAUAACGACUUAUGUAAUGCAUAUAAGAAAUAUUGUAAGUUAAUGCACUUCCAUGUAAGCUCGUGCGUGUUUAUAUGUUUUCUUCUUAUAUCAAGUCAUGUACUCGAUUAUAAUUUAUCUUUUCAACCUGAAUAUAUAUUUGAAUGCGUUUUCUAUAUAUUGAAUUGGAUAAACUCUCUCAAACAUUCUCACACACGUAGGAGUGGCUGUGUGGUAAGUAUCUUGCUAACCAACCACAUGGUUCUGGGUUCAGUCCCACUGCGCGGCAUCUUGGGCAAGUGUCUUCUGCUAUAGCCCCGGGCCGGCCAAUGCCUUGUGAGUGGAUUUGGUAGACGGAAACAGAAAGAAGCCUGUCGUAUAUAUGUAUAUAUAUGUAUGUAUGUGUGUGUGUGUGUGUGUGUGUGUGUGUGUGUGUGUGUGCCUGUGCUUGUCCCCCUAGCAUUGCUUGACAACCGAUGCUGGUGUGUUUACGUCCCCGUCACUUAACGGUUCGGCAAAAAGAGACCGAUAGAAUAAGUACUGGGCUUACAAAUAAUAAGUCCCGGGGUCGAGUUGCUCGAUUAUAGGCGGUGCUCCAGCAUGGCCGCAGUCAAAUGACUGAAACAAGUAAGAGAGUAAGAGAGUUUAUAUUGGUAGCCAAAAUAUUAGUAAAGAUGAGAGAGAAGUAAUGUUUUUUAAGACCGAAUAUAGUGAAGAUAUUAGUUUCGACUUCUAUAUACGUUAGACUCAAUAAUAAAAAAACCUUUUCACGUUUUCAGUAAAUCCUAAUAGACAUAGACAAAUGCCUAAUGAUGACGUAUUGGCUUCAAAUUGUUGCUUUCGUUGAUGAAUUCCAGAUCAAGGCUCACCGUUCAUCGCUGGAGUCAAAAACGUUUAUGCCAUUGGUAUUCCGUUCUUUCUACACGCAUUGAAUAUAUGCGAGUAGAUUUUUCGAUGUCACUCUCGUCUUAUUUGCUGAUUAUUUCUAGCGGUGCCCUCUGCAUCUAGGCAACAUAUACUAAUAAGACAGCAAACGCACACACACACACAACACACACACAAAGUACAUUCACUAACAGACAAAUACAUACAUACGCGCAUUUAUAUAUAUGCUUAUAUAUAUAAGUACAUCGAAACGUAGAGUAGAUGAAACCAUAGCGACUGAAGAAGGGUUUUUUUCUUUGUGUUAAUUGUCCUGUACUCUAUAUUUUCGCUGUUUAUAAAAACGUCCAGUUCCUUUGGUUUGUAUCUAUGUUUUCGUUUCUCAUUGUGUUCGACGUCUUCUUGGUGUCCUGUACUCAUAUGUGCGUGUAUAUGUACAUGUAGAGGUAGGUACGUACAUAUAUGUUUAUAUAUAUGCAUAUUUUUUUAUUUAUUUAUUAAUAUAUAUAUAUAUAUACAGAGAGAGAGAGAGAGAGAGGGCAGAUACAAAGAGAGAUUGAGAAAGAGAGGCAUACAUCCAUCUAUGUAUGUGGCUUUUAAAUCUCAAGUAUGAACGCCUCGUGUGAAACACCUAUGUAGUAAAAGAGGAAAUCCACGAAUUUGCACUCUACAUACUCGCACGUAUGUAAACACAGAUACGUCCGCAUACGUUUGUGCCUAUAUAUAGUAAUAUAUGAGUGUGUGUAUACAUAUAUAUAUAUAUGUAUAUACACACACAUAUACAAACAACUUUCUUAUUCCAUGCCAUAUACCUACAUAUACGUAGCACGAUUAUAUAUGGUUUUAUUCAAUAUCACCUAUAGAUAUUUUCGUUUGACUUACAACGUGCAAUUCAUAAUGUUUGUAUGGGUAAAUAAUAAUGCAUGCUAGUUUAGUUAAGAAAAAAUGUAGGUCAUAAAAUCUCUACUUCUAGCACACGUUUUACUUACCUUCUCUGAAAUAGCUCAAUAUAUUCGAGAUAUAUAUGUUACUUAUGUUAAGAAAAUUUGAGUACAAAUUUAUUAAGUAAUUGAUUAGAUGAUGACGACUAAGGUGAAAUUUAUUCAUAUUAAUGUCCAAUCUUUCCUCGAAACGAUUGACUCUGAAGUAUUCGUUCAUUGGUAUGAUACUUGUGUGAGACUUGUGUAUCUCUGCUGUAUAUACUUCAGAUUUUAACCCUCCUGUCAGCAUUAAUAAAAUACAACAGUAUACGCUUGUUGUAUAGAAUUUAUGUAUUCAUUAAUGUAUCGAUUGAUAGAAAGAAAAUGAGUGACUAUAGUUACUUUAUUGUUUCUAAAUUUACAACAAGAAACAGUAUUAUUGGGUCUAUUAGAAGCAGUUGUAUUGCGGUGAUAAUGGUGGCUAUUUUGUGUGUAUCAGUGUAAAAGCCCACACAUGCAGAAUCGGAUUGAUUAAGCACUGUACAAAAUAGAACCAAGUAUGGGUGAAUGAGAGUUAUGGUGUAGAAUAACAAGAAAGCUAAACUUUUUAAGUAACAGUGACAAGAUAAAUGCUGUAGAUUUAACUGAUCAUCUGUAAAGGUUGGAUCUCAUAUUAUACGUCAUGCUUUUAGUUUGGAUUCUGUCCAAAACAUUCAGUAAGGACUAUAGAGGAAAUGCCGUAGAAUUGCUAAUGCUAUUUCAUUCUGCACAUACGUUUCGUCUUUGCAUUAUCAGUGUAUUGUAAAAAAGCCAGAAAGUCAUCCGUGUAAUGUAAUUCCGUUACAUGCAUGGUAUACAGUACAUGAUGAUAUUUGAUUUAACGCUUGGUUGAACUGUGUUGAGAGAGAACCCUGCACGCUUUCUUUCGAUUACCAGUAUGGAAAUUGUCAUAGUUCACUUGAAUGAAAUAUAUUCGUACUUCAAGUAGCAGAAGAGCAGUUGCCAAAGUUAAUUAAUACCAAAUGAAUAUACUUCCAAAGAUUAAUCUACCAAAGCAACGUUUUAUACCUAUUUUCCUGUCAUCAACGCUUGCCAAAAGAAAAUUUCCCUUAGAUAUUUACACUAAAUUUACACGAUAAAUACCCAAUAUUCUAUUGGCCUAUGUUACUGGCAUAUGCUCCUGGCCUAUAUUUAAUUAUCUAAGAUUGGAAGGUUUUAGUUAUCAAUGGCGAUUAGGCAUUAUCAUUUACAUAUGCUACAAACGAAGCUUAAAUUUAUUUAUUUACAUAGAUGUUGAAGUAAUUAAAAUAUACAUUAAAUACAAUCUUAUAAUAUGUAUAUAUAUGUAUAUAUAUAGUACGUUUAAAUAUUUGUUGUGCAAGAUUUUUUAUGUGAAGUCGUGUGUUGAAACAGAUAUUGUUAUAUUUCGGAAUGGUCAUUUUGCCAGUUUAGCCAAUAAAAACACACGCACUAUAUAUUUGGUGUUACUUUGCUUCAGUGAUAUUUAUUUUUUACAUUAAUCUUAAUCUUAUUUCGGCCAGAGUUCUUUCAUCACACUCCUGUGACCGCAUCAAUGGUCCUUUGUUUUCUUCUCACUUAUUUGUCUCUCCUUACUAACCGUCAGCCAUAAGUGAGAAGAAAACAAAGGACCACUGAUGCGGUCACAGGAGUGUGACGAAAGAACUCUGGCCGAAAUAAGAUUAAGAUUAAUGUAAAAAAUAAAUAACACUGAAGCAAAGUAACACCAAAUAUAUAGUGCGUGUGUUUUUAUUGGCUAAACUGGCAAAAUGACCAUUCCGAAAUAUAACAAUAUAUGUAUAUAUAUAUAUGUAUAUAUAUAUAUUUAUAUAUGUGUAUAUAUAUAAAUAUACGUAUGAGAUUAAGAAAGCCAAGUAGGAAUUUCAGUGCGUUUGAAAGGACAAUAUUUCACUAGCAUUUUAAAUUUAGUGUACACAGAUACAAUUUGACCUGGUAAACAAUUGCAACAGUGCUCCGUUGAAGAUAGGUCGCUCAAUUCCCAUAAUUCACAAGUAAUGCGUGGUAGAUUUAUUAAUAUAUUUUCUCUGUUAAUAAAUGAAUCUACUAAUUCAGACCUUUUGUUUCGUAACUUUGUAUCUUUUGGACCUUAUCAGAUGAAACAUUAAACAUAGCUAUAUGUUUGGGUAUAGCUGCUAAAUCUUGACGCUCACUUUUCGAAGGGAUGAAGGACAGAAAGUUGUUGGCGGUGAACAAAAUGACAUACUGUAAAUGGAUUUGAUUCUUUAAGAAUCAUAUGAUUUCGAUUCCACCAGAGUCAACACUGAUUUACAUAUUUAAAUUAAUUUACAAAUUUGAAGCUUCUAUAUCUAAAACGAAGUGGUAACAAAAUGUAUUUAUACACAGUUAGAUGAAACUUCAGCCCUUCAAAAUCGAAAUUUUUCGUAACUUACUGGAUCUCUACACAUAGGUACUUUAUAACAGUUUGACACAGAAAUUGUUAUUGUUGACCUAACCUUUUAUUUUGAAUCUUUCUUAAAUGCAUAUCAUAAAGAUUUGAAUAUAGGAAUUGAAAGUAUCUUAAAUGUUAUGUUAAUUUUCUAUGCUUAAGCAGAUAUUGAUUUUGCCUCAUAACGUAGUCUUUAUACAAAAAAUAUAACAGGACGAUCUUAUUCAUUGAUCAUGAUGACGAUGAUAGUGAUUAAAUAAACAUUGUCAUCAACUCUCUGUUCUAUAGUUCAUAACAAUACAAUAAUGAAUUGGAUUUAUUGCGUUGGUUAGAACAAUAAAGCUCGAAUUAAAUGCAUAAUAACAACUAAUUUAAUUUUCUAGUUUUCAGUUCAUGAUACGUAAGGCUUAAAUCCUACUUACAUCAGAUAAAUAAAUUAGUACACUUGUCUGAAUUCAAUCGUCUGCAGUAAUUUUUUGGUGAGCAUGAUUAAUGUGACUAUCACUAGAAAGAGUUUUCUAAGAGCUUAACAAAUUGCGUCACCAAUUAUAGCUAGAUAUAUGGUGAUGGGAAAAGCUUGUUCCUCGGUUAACAAAUGGAUUGUUAAUGCUGUUAAAACUGUGCUUAGAGCGAUGCUUUUUCCCCUGAAAUUCAUUUUAUAUUUCCAAGGAUACUGUUUAUAGCCACUAUCCUAUACAUAGAUGUAUGAUGGUGGGGAUCGAGAGUCUUAUUAUUGAUGCAAGCAAAAAUUCCAUCAUCUCAUGAUCGAUACAAAGCAUCAGUAAAUAUAUUUCGAUAUGGUACACGUUCAAGAGCAAUUUAUUGAGCACGCAUUUGAAGAAAAUAAAAGAAGAUUACUAUUCUGCUAUAACAUUCGUUUCAAGCUACACGUGUAUCUAUUUAUAAAAAGAAAAUGCCUCAGAAUUUUUGGACAAGAAUUAGAUAUUCUCAUUUUUCAGACGUUCCGCUGUCAUUGUAGCAUACGAUUUGUUUCAUGCUGGUUAUUGCAAGAGAGAAUUUUCUCUUUUCUUGUUUGAUAAGACGUUAUUUUAGCUUCCUGAUAUAGACUAUUCUUUUAGACCAGGGACAAUAUUUGCAGACUAUUGCUUUAUUAUCCUUUUUUUUUAUUUCCGUUUAUGACAUUGAAAAAGAAUUGUAUGCUUUAAAUAUAUUCUAUUAUACGCACUUCCACUAUUAUCAACUGAAGUCAACUUCAAGUGAUUUUGGUUCCUCCAGAUCUGACGAUACAGACUGAAUAAUUCAUAUAAACAAUGAUUUGAAAAUAGCACCGCUGUGUGCAGCGGUUUAUUUUGCUGAUUUCUAUUCAGAAUAUACUCAUAUAUGCACAAUAUAUGCACAAUACAUGAGCAAAUAUCAAAGUAUUGGGCAAGGAGUGUUCUGAAUUCCACACAAAAUUGAUACAUCUUCUCUAUCUAUUUCUUCAUUACAAUUAAUUGUUUUCACAUAUUUUGCUACCCUUAUGAAGAACGUAAGUCCUAAGUUUAAUCUCGAUUUCAAUAUAAAAUGCAAAAUAUUUUGCUUUCUCGAACGCAGUAACAGCAUUUUUAUCGAUGUUGUUCCUUUUUUAAUCACAAAGUCUAUUCGCCAAAAAGAGAACGUAUCAUCAUUUCAUAUUUACGCACGGGUAAAAAGAGAUGAUAAAGAAUAAGAAUAUAACCGUAAUAUUUACCUAUCCCUCAGCAGUUACAAGUCGUUUUCAUAUUAAGACAACUCAUUAUUUGAGAAGUUUAAAUAUGUGAAAAUGUAAAGCAACUUCACAAAACUAAAUGUCAAAUCUUAGAAUCCGCACACAAAAGUACCUGGAAUUUUUUCGCUUAGUGUAGAAACUUUGAAGUAGAAGUGUUUGAAAAUUAAUACAAAAAAAUCCUUUUUACUAUGCAAGAAUUUUUGAAUAAUGAAAACCGAUUUUCAUAUGAUUAAAUCACAUUUAAACGUCUGUCUAAGAUACUUAAGUGUUGUAAAAUAACAACAUAAAUUUCUUUAAACAUUUAAAUUUUCACGCAAUAUAUGCAUAAAAUAUUUAGCAAUACUGAUAUUUCUUGGCAAAGGUAAGGCAAAAUUAUGGUAUCUAACUGGAAAAUGUGUCCAUAAUAUUUUGAUGAGUAAGAUCUGCGCCGCUGAGAUGCAGGUGAUCAUUUCAAUCUUCAAUAAUAUUACAUCCCAGUUGAUGAUUCAGCUAAUAUUCAAGAGCAUGCCCAGCAAUUACGAUGUAUCAUUGCUUAAAAUUCCAAUACAUAGUUUUUUAACGAAAUGAAACUUGUGCUCGUUUCGGUGGUUUUCUUUAUUGGUAAAAUUAAAAGAUGAACAGAACGGAAACCAUAUCUAAGUGCUUUUAUCUCUCCACAUCUCCGUCGCUGUUUUCACGUCACUCACUGUCUUUCUGUCUCCCUCUCUGUCCCUCUCUUCCUAUCUCAAACAAAUUCAAGAAUCAGGCAAUUUAGAACACUUCUCUAAUGGACAGUUCUCUAAUUUUGAAAAUUUUACCAAAAUUUCAUUUGCCCAUUUUUGUACUUUACUAAUUGGUGACAUUAUACAUAUCCAUGUGUUUGUGAGUGUUUUUUCUGUGUGGUCGUGUAUGCAAUUGUGUUACAUAUUCACAUUCUUUGUAUAGCGCGAUAAAUCCGUUAGAGCAGCGUUGGUUUCGUAAGAGUUGAUAUGUUUUAAAUCAUAUCCAUAUACAUAUGUGGUUAUGUACUAAGAAGAUUGCUUCCCAAUCACAAGGUUUCGGGUUCAGUCCCACUUCAGUGCACCUGAGCCCUGAAGUCUUCUAUUAUAGCCACGGGCCGACCAAAGCCUUUUCAGAGGAAUCGGUAGACGGAAAUUGAAAGAAGCCCGUCAUAUAUAUAUGUGUGUGUGUGUGUGUGUGUGCAUAUGUAUGUGCACGCCCGUGUGUGUAAAUAUCUAUGUAUGUGUUUCUUUGUGUUGGUGUCUCCAUAACUAAGCCGUUCGUCAAAGUGACCGAUUGAAUAAGUACAUACUUAAAAAAUAAUUACCGGAAUCGAUUCGUUCGACUAAAAGAGAAGUGAAGGCUGUGCCCCAGCAUGGCUACGGUCUAACCAUUGAAACAUGUACAAAACAAAAGACGAAUGAUAUAUACACACAUUCACACAUAUUCACGCACACUCACACACACACACACACAAACACACACACACACGCACGCAGACACAUAGUCAUUGUUAUUUAUUUAGUCAGAUAUGCUAUAUUUCUUCGACUAUCUUGUUUUCUCUAGUAAUUUAUUCUCAUUAUUUCCUGUUUUAUAUUUGUAUUAUUGAAUUUAUAUGCGUUGAGAGUUUUCUAAUGCUUAUAUUUCCUGUGUUUAGUUCUUUCUGAAAAUUGUGUUUGUAUUGAUACUAUCUUUGGCUUUCAAGGAAAACGAUUAAAAUUAAUGCAGUAAAAAUAAACUUACUGUUAAAAGCAAUACAUUACGUUGUAUUAUCGAUCGAACGUGUCACUUCCAUAUUGCAUUUAAACAGGCUAAUAUAAGAGAAUCGCUUAAUUUACUGGUGGUAUAGCUUCUAUAUCUAGGACAAGAAAUAAAUAGAAGAUCUGUAGAUAAAUCGUACUCAAUGACAAAAUCUAUACUCAGAGUUUGAAGAAAAUAUGCUCCACUCCAAACGAUAUAAGAACAUAUACAUACAUAUAUACGUAACUACAUACGUACAUACAUUCAAUGAUUUUACUAAGAUUUGGUGUACAAAGAGUACCUGUGCAGAUGAAUAAUUUUCAGUGGGUAUAGCUUGCACUGCACUACCCUACACCUAUUGGUCCAAGAGGCUUUUUGCCGGGGUGACAUGAGAUUUGACAAAACCUCAGGGUUUAUUUUGCAGAUUUCCUUCUACUAGGUAGAUUAUCAACCAAGGUUAAAGAGCUUUUACCUGCCCAUGAGGUAGGCUAUCCCGUGCCAGACACCAAGCCGAAACCCAAACACCCCGUAUAAUGAUUAAGUAUCAUUCUGGUGCCCGACGUGGUGCAGCUCAUGCAUAUAUACAUAAAAAUGUAUAAGAUAUGUAAUUUCAAAAUAUAAAUAAAAUAUUUAAAUAUAUAUAAAUGUAAAAUAUAUAUAUAUAUAUAAAUAUAUAUACAUGUAAGAAUAUAUAUAUAUAUACAUAUCUAUACAUAUUCGUUGGAUGGCCUUUAACUACGAAUGAGUUCCUCCAUACAUGCAUACAUACAUACAUACAUACAUACAUACAUACAUACAUGCAUACAUACAUACAUACAUACAUACAUACAUACAUACAUACAUACAUACAUACAUACAUACAUACAUACAUGCAUACAUACAUACAUACAUACAUACAUACAUACAUACAUACAUGCAUACAUACAUACAUACAUACAUGCAUACAUACAUACAUACAUACAUACAUACAUACAUACAUACAUGCAUACAUACAUACAUAUUUCCAAACUUUCUCGCUGGCCUCAAACGCACGAUCGAAGCUAACCCAUCCAUAUCCAUGGCAACUCUUGCAAAGAAGCGCAGUGUGUCCCUUUCCACGGUGUCCAGAGAUGUGAACAGGAACCUUGGCAUAACUAUUUUCGACGACGCCGUCAGCUCCUAACAGCCAAGACCAAAGAAAUCAGAGCCGAGAGUUGCCCAAAGCUUCUGUCAUUCCUCAAGAAUCAAGGUGCAAGGUAAAGUUCCAUGUUUGUGGACGAUAAAAUGUUCAAUGUGAACGCCGAGGUGAAUUACAGAAAUGCUUGAAAGAUUGCAUACAGCCCUUCUGACAGCCCACUCCCUUGUUUAAGACUAGGAAUCCUGCUUCUGUGAUGUUAUUUGGAACAGUGGCGAGUGACGGAACUGUUAUGGACCCACACUUCAUUGAAUCUCUCUUGAAGAUCGGCACACAUGAGUAUCUGGACAUCUUGGAGGACUCUCUGUUGCUUUUGAUGGAGCAGAAGUUUGGGCUUGACAAUGUGGUCCAGGAUGCUUCACCAUGCCAUGGGUCAAAGCAGCACAGGCCUUCUUUCGUGAGAAGGUGCUAUUUCUUGUGAGGGCCAACAUCUGGCCUCGUGAUAGCACAUAUCUCAACUUUUUCGACUACUAUAUAUAUAUAUAUAUAUAUAUAUAUACAUACAUAGAUAUGUAUAUAUUUGAGUGUGUCUGUGAUUGUAUCCCCUCCGUCGCUUGACAACCAAUGUUGGUGUGUUUACGUCCUCGUAACAGCGAUUCGGCAAAAGUGACCGAGAGAAUAAGUACGAGGCUUACAGAGAAUAAGAUCUAGAGACGAUUUUUUCAACUAAAGGCGGUGCUCCAUCAUGGUCCCGCUCAAAUAACUGAAACAAGUAAACGAAAAAAAGAAUAACACUAUAUGCGUGUGUAUACAUAUAUAUAUAGAGGGAGAGAGACAUGUAGAUAGAUAGAUAGAUAGAUAGAUAGAUAGAUAGAUAGAUAGAUAGAUACAGACACAUAUGGCACUAACUUACAUUUCUUACUUUAGAUAAUGGACGGCACUCUAUUAUAUGAUAUGAUGUUAUUAUGAAACAUCAUAUAUAAUAAAUAAUAUAUAAUAAACCUAUUCUUAAAUGUAUAUUGAUAUAUAGUUUAACAAUGUAUAUAAUUAUUAAACGCAUAGUUUUGAAUUGUAAAUGAAUAAUGAUCAUAAGGAGGAAAAGCAUGAGAGGGAGAAGCUCCAAUGUCACCGACGGCGUCGCUGAUGAUGACAAGCUUGACAACGACAACAACGACAGCGACGACGACGGCAAUGCUGAUAAUGAAUACAGAGGUGAGGUAAAGCAGAUGUACUUCAAAUAUGAAAAGAAGAUCAAAUACCUAGACAUAUUCCCCUAGGAGAAAAUUAUUUGAGUGAAAUUUAUUUAUAUAUAUAUUGGCAAUAUUUUUAUUGACCCGUUGACACCUUUUCACAUAACACAAAAGACCAAGCUAAAUACAAUGACAAUAUUAGUUUUGGCAAAUUUCUGUAACACGACGCCUUUUUUGUAUCCUAAGGCCUGUAGUAAAAUUUCAUGUCCAAAGAAAUUUCGCAUAUAUGUAUAACAAUCAAGGUAGACUCUUGAUAAGGGUUUCUCCACCGUGCUCAUAUUGGUCUACUUUCAGACAUAGCAUACCUAGCCGUAUAUAAUCAUAUGUCCCUUCAUAGGUUUUUGGUAGAAAGUUUUAUUUUGCGAGAGAUUCACUGUUGAAUCUGUCAAGUCAUUUUGGUUCAUGCUGAUGCCCCGCUUGAAUUUAUAAACUUCCACUUGUUACGACAUGUGUAUAAUAAAAAAUAUAUACAUUAUUGCCGACAUGUAUUUUUAAAAUAUCAUUAGAUCAUGUUUAACCAUACAGAAUUAUAUAUUUGUUUCAAUAGAAUACUUUAUAAUUAAUCAACUGUUAUCCCUCAUGCAUUGUACAGCUAGCGAUUUAGUAAACUGAUGUUAAGAAAUAUUACUUCCAAAUGCAGCAACAUGAUAUUGUCUCACUCAUUGUAUUUUGUACAGAGUUUUGUCCAAGGACAGCAGUAAAUUACUAUUGAUUUAUUGUUUAGCAAAACUCUGGGGCCUUAGAGGUCAUAGAAAAUUAUGGUGUGUCAGAUAAUGCCCAGAGUAAAGAUCUUAUGAAAUUACUUAGCAUGUUCAUGCAUAGUUACCAUUUCUCUAAUUCAUAAAUUAUUGAAUUACUAGUCAAUAUUCUAUAAGAAUCAGUUCAGAGUGAUGCAGAAAUAGAAUUUACCUUUCAAUGGAUGCAAAUUCUCUGCAGUUGUGAUUUCCUGUAAAUAAUCAUUUUACUUCAUUCAGCAAGUAGCGACCGGUUUCGUAGAAUACAUAAAAAGAUAUUCUGUGAAACCGGUUGCUAUUUGUUUCUGGCCUACUAGGUUGUUUAUAACAAGAGUGAAACAUUUUCGAGUCAAGUUAGCAACCGAGGUUUCCAUCUAAUCUUUUGAUAUCUCAGUUCACAUAUGUUACAAAUUUUUUAUGUUUAAAUUUUGACGUGCAUGCAAAAAAAAAAUAAAUAUAUAACAUAUUGUGCUACUUCAAAGUGUAACUAUACACUAGAGAAUUAUUUAUCAUUCUCCCUUCCUUCAUACCAGUAUUACUUUUGUAUAUGAUAAAACUUCACGAUAUGAGCGCUCGUAUGACAAUAGCCACAUAUGACACCACGGUCAUGUACGCAAUAUAUUAACUGUACAGAUUGCUGUGUUAUUAAUAUAUUGUACUUCCAUCUGAGUUAUACUCCAAUGCAUAGCACUACGAAACACUCAUAUCGCCUUUUUUGUAGUCUUUUUUCCUUUUUUGAGUGAUGUGUCAUAAUGCAUGAGAGGCCGGUCUGAGGUAGUGGCCCUACUCUUGCGUUGAAUUCGGAUCAUUAUCGUUAUCACGAUCCCAGAAAUCCUCUAAAGUGAAGCCUUGUUUGUUUAAAUCUUACACUAACCAUUUAGAAAUCCACAUAUUCCAAAAUAUUAGGCAGAUUUUUUCUGCAAUUCUUAAAAAGGAAGCUAUGUUGCUGAUACAAUGCAUUUGAUGUUAGGCUAAAUAUCUACAAAAUUACAGAGCAAAACAUGCAGUGAGACUUUGAUGCAUAACCAUGCACUCGUCCUGUUUGAUAUCAACGCAUAAGCAUUCUACUUCUACAUAAAAGAAAACACCUACGCUUAUCACAACACAUUGGCUUAUCUCAUUGGCUUAUCACAACCUGCAUAACUGAAAAACAGGAACUAUGUGAUAUACAUAAACGGAUAUCAAAGUUUAAGAAACUUAAUAUUGAUUCAUUUUAUAUCUACGAUACCAGGAUAUAUCAAUUAAUUACACUGAAACUGCAUUUCUCUCUAUCUAAAAUGUUGCGGCUAGGGGAGGAGAGGGGAAAGAGGGAAAGUAAAUUCUUUACGAUAUUUUUGCAGGUCAAAUAUAUACUGAGCCGAAAUCUAACUACAGUCAGCUAUAUGGCAUCGGUAUGGCUAUAAGACUUAAUACAAUUAAGAAAAAAACUAGAUUAAAUGCAUUCAACUACAUAUAUAUAUAUAUAUAUAUAUAUAUAUAUAUAUAUAUAUAUAUACAUAAAAGUAAAUAAAUGGCACAACGAAGUACCGAUAUUUACUGGAAAAUAGCGAACGUAAUAAAUACGACGCUAAUGUAUAGCUUCACUGCGUAUGUACAAGUAAAGGUGCGUGUGUGCAACAAACAUGAAAAAAAUUGUCUUACCUCUAGGAAGAACAUCCGAAAAAUGAAAUACCUAGAAAUGGAUAAUGUGGUACCGGUUUCACAUUCUUCAAAAUACGUCCGCAACAUAUAUUUGAUUUAUCCUCAUCAGCCACAUAUACCUCGACAAUAUUUCAAAUGUUGCCACAUCUAUGCCAGUACACUCGACUGACGGGCUAUCCUUUACUGGAAAGCAAUACUCUCGUAUUGCAUUACUAUUUUCAUUAUAUAUAUAUAUAUAUAUAUAUAUAUAUAUAUAUAUAUAUGAGUAAAUUGCGCAAUAAUCCAUGCAUCCAUAUACACUUGUACAAAAAUAGCGUUAUGAAUCAAAGGGCAGAGACCUGCGAGCAUUGAUAGAAUGUCUGACAAAAUACCUUUUAAUAAUUAUUUACCAGUUUACGGUCUGUGUUCAAACAACAACGAAGUCAAAGAUUCCUUCUAUCGGUAAAGGAGUAAGUACAUGAAAAUUGGCAAUGCGCUUAUUAAAGCAAAUGGCAUGCUAAAAUUAUUACAACCACGCUCACGUACAAACACACACAUACACAUAUAGUCUCGUUCCUUCCUCUCAUAUAUAUAUAUAUAUAUAUAUAUGUGCGUGUGAGUGAAUGCGUGCGUGUGUGUAUACAGAUAUAUAUUUAAAUAUUCAUAUAUAUUUGUAUAUAUCCUUAUUUACUUAUAUCUUUGGGCAUGAGUGUGCGUGCGUAUGUGUAUGCGUUUGGGAGAGGAUGAGUCUGUGUAUUUGUGUAUGAAGGGUGAUUGCGUAUAAUUAGAUAUACAAAAGCUAAAUACGAACACGAAUAGCGUAUUUGAUGGAUGGACAAAAACAAGUAGUAAUAUAGAAGUAGAAUAGAUGUCACAUGAGACUUAAUGUAGUACGAAACAAAUCUAUAUAUUCACGAAAAUUGCGUGCAAAAUUCAAUGUUCGGCAAUUUAAUUUUAUGUAAUUUAUUCAUAAUUUAAGCAGCAUGUUUGGAUAGAUUUUCCAAAUGUCUACUUCUUGGCGAGAACAUUACAGUUUCUUCCGUUGAUCUGAAAUCUGAUAGUGGAAUAAAAUUAGAAGCUGUCAAGUUGUCGUGAGUGGAAAGCCGGUCGAGAUCUGCAUAAUGCAUAUAAUACUCUGGAAAGCAAAAACAAUGUGAUACGCAUAAACCGAUGCAAAACCUUAUAUGUGUGUGAACGUGGGUUCAUUUAUGAAUAAUUGUGUGUGUGUGUAUGCGUGUAUAUAUAUGUAUGUAUAUAUAUAUAUCUGUGUGCGUGCGUGCGUAUAUAUAUAUAUAUAUAUAUAUAUAUAUAUAUAUAUACAUGUGCAUGUGUGUGUCUGUGUCUGUGUCUGUGUGUAUGUGUGUUUUGGGUCAUCCGAUAAAUACGGUUUUUUAUACCUCUUUUAUAUUUGAAAAUUAAGAAAAACAAUCUUUCAUUAAUCUAAAAUAUAGUCACUUUCAGUUACUAAAAUGUUUUUCCAUCUAUUUGGUAGAAUUGUAAGGCCCCUCUUCCACAUUUCACUUGUCCGUGACGAAAAAUACUACUCUAGUACUCUUCUACAGAAUUCAUAUUUCUUCUAAGUGAUUUUGAAGACUGUAGUAUAAAUAAUAAUCAGCUGGGGCAAUGUCAGGCGAAUAUGGUGGGUGGGGCAUUGUUUUCCAUUCAAACUGCUUAAGCCUUUGGAAUGUAAAUCUCGCUGUAUGUGGCUGAGCAUCAUCCUGAUUGAAGAACACCUUCCGUCUUGAAUCCAAACAUGGGCGUUUUCCUUCUAGCACUGACUUGAAUGACAGUUUCAAUUACUAAAUCCAAGCUUCUCUGCUAGUCCCUCAACAGUUACGACGGAGUUUUCUUCCGCCAGGGCUGCAGGACAUCCUUCUCGAGCUCUACAGAUCGUCCAGGAUGAGGCUGGUCUUCUAGGCUGUAGUUACCAGCUCGAAGUUUCUGGAACCACAGCUCACACUUGCUUAAGUUUAUUGUACGACCCCCAUAUAUUCUUCGCACUUUCCGUUGCGUUGUUGCCUUUAUUGAACUCAUAAAGCAAAAAUAUGCCGAAUAUGCUCCUUUGUCGUCACCAUUGUAGUUUUGAAAUAAUUAUUGUUAAGAUCGAACUGCACUCCUUUAAACCUGAACUAAGGAUAAGGAGAAGGCACAAUUACUACCUGCUUUUACAGCAGGUUGAUGCAGGUAGUCUAUCUCAUGCUUCUCUAAAUUUUAUUUCAUUCAAAUGAAAAACUGCAUUAUUUAUGCGAUGACCUAAUAUACACACGCUCACACAUAUACGUGGUAUGAUCAAUAAGUAUCCGGACUGUUGCUAUAAUAACGACGCUAAAUCACGCAAAGUGAAGUUCCUUCGCACAGAUUGACCUUGAACUCUGCUGUGCAUGCGCACUAAGUUUUAACGUUCUAGCUCACUUCCACUGUUUACAGCAGUGCUUAGAAGGAAGGUUUGUAACGUGUGGUCGUCGCAUUUACUAUGACAAAGUUGAGCAGAGAAUCUGCGUGAAAGUUUGCGAAAAGUUUGUCGAUACUUGCUCAUGGGCCAUCGCAAAGUUUUAUCGUUCUCGUCACAGUCAAGGAUAUCUUGUGCAACUGAAACCCGACUCUCUUUUUUUGAUCAGCUGAAAGCAGUUUUGGCACAAACUUGGCAGAUAUGUGUUCCAUGUCCGAAUCUUCAAUGAUAAUGUACUGAACUAAGCCAUAAUUAAUCCACACCUCCUCCGAUAACUUGCGGGGAGUAUUUCGUCGAUUUCCCCUCACAGCUUGCACGAACAUCUGUGAUGUGAUAGUUUUCUCAGUUCUGCUGGUUACAGGUCUCCCAGACCUUUCGUCACUAUCGACAUUUUUCGGUCGUCUUUGAGACGUCUGAACAACUCGUACACUCGUGUGAGGCUCAUACACCUCUCUCCAUACACUUUCUACAGUAUUACGUAAUCCUCUGAACACGUAUCACCAUGACAACUUUCUCUGUCAUGGUCAAUGCGAUGAUCACACGCUACACAUUUUCUUUCUAUGCAUUGCUGUAAAUAGCAGUAGUGAACUAGAACGUUAAAAUGUUUAUGCGCGUUCACAACAGAGGUCAAGGUCAAUUUAUGGGAAGCUGCUCUACUGCACGUGCUUUAGCUUCAUUACUAUGGAAAUAGUCCAGAUACUUAUUGAUCAGAACUUGUAUACAUAUGUAUGUGUGUAUGCACAUAUAUAUAUAUAUAUAUAUAUAUAUAUAUAUUUAGAGAAAGAGAAAAAAAAUAAAGGAGAGAGAAUUGUAUGUAUAUAUAUAUAUACACAUAUAUAUAUAUAUAUAUAUAUAUAUAUAUAUAUGUAUGUAUAUAUUUAGAGAAAGAGAAAGAAAAAUAAAGGAGAGAGAAUUGUAUAUAUAUAUAUAUAUAUACACAUAUAUAUAUAUAUAUAUAUAUAUAUAUAUAUAUAUAUAUAUAUAGCAUCACCUCCACCUCAUUUGUAAAUGUUAAGUUCUCUAGAUAUUCCAGGUCCAUUGUACUUUUGGGUAGAGAUCUACUGACAUUACAUUGUGAACAAUUAAAUUGUUAUCUUAAGUUGCAGACAGAAAUUUGGUUUUAUUCGCACUACCAUUAUCAUCUGCUGUUUAAGGGAAUCUAUGAAAAAUUGCGUUUGGCAGCCACAGCUACACACAAAACUUCAUAGCAUAUUAAAUAUAUAUACAUGACGAAUAUUCUUUGGCAACAACAAUCUUUUUUGGGGUUUCGAAUCGUGUGUCAUAUGUCUUAAUAAUUGGAAAAUCUCAGCUAUGCAUGCUUUCAGUAACUAAUCUUUACUAUACUUAUUUUAUAAUGCCUUAAUAUGAUAUCUCUCAUUCUUUUUGAGCAAUUUUAAUACUAUAGCUACUCAAAUAAAACUUGAUUUUCAUGUAUAUCAUAGCAUGAUGUGUAAUGAUGAUGCAAAGUAUCCCGCUUAAUAUGUUCUACGUGUAUUAUGUAAAUGUGUGUGUGAUAUGGGUGCGGCUAUGCACAGAAUGACAUGGCGGAAAAUGCAUGUAAGUAUAAUUGAUGACACCGUAAGAAAACAGUGUAGUCUAUAGUAAUAGAAAAAAACAUUCAUGAAGAAGCAUUAGAAAUAACUAGAUAUGAUUAGCUUUCUAUUGGGGUAAUUCAAACGAACUGCCAUAUAAGAGUUCUUUUCCUAGAAGUACAUAUGCAGAAUGAAUAUAUCUAGUCAUUUAAAAUAUCAUAAACGUAUGUUUCUUGUAUCAUCAUAAUUGGUGGUUUCGAAACAAAUUGAAGACUGCUUUAAAAGUCAAUUUUACUGAGUAGUUACUUAUAUGAUGAACAUUACACUGCAGCCACAGAAUUCAAUUGAAACGUGACCUGACUUGAUAAUUAAUUAAUAAAUGACAUCGGACAUGAUUUCCCUGUAGAAAUUGUCUACUCAGCAAUGAGAGUGAGGAGUGAAAUAGCAUAAGUGAGAAUUUCUAUACUACGAGAAUACUUGAGAGAAUUCUUAUUCUUAACACUAUAUCACGUCACAUAACCUCCCAUACAUUCACACACAUGCACACAGAAGCACAUGAUAUACAUAUAUAUAUAUAUAUAUAUAUGGUGUGAUAUCAUGGAAUUGUAUUGUAUAUAUAUGAAAUUCUAUUAUAUCAUAUGAUAGAAUAUAAUAUUGUAUAUCAAUAUAUUAUGUCAUUAGUUCACAAUUCACAUAUCCUUAAGUGGAUCUAAAAUGAUGUACUCUAAUAUAUUCAAAUAUAUCCACAUAAAAUACCUUAAGAUGAACACAUCUGUAAUCACACAACUAUCGUUAUCCCGGAUAUAGCACAGUGUUUCCAUUGCUAACACUUGUGUUUUGCAUAUAUACCAUUUUAAAUAUUUCCUCCUGUUAUUCUUUAAUACCGAGAUCUGCUUUCUUGAUAAAAAAUUAGGUCUAAAAAGAACCUUGAUUGUUAGAUUGAAAAUUGUACCUAGAUGACUGUUCGGUUGAAAAUUAGUAUAUCUACAACUUUUCGUUACUUGUAUUAUUUUAAUACCUCUACGUAUUUGUCUCCCCUUAAAUUCUCAGUUGCUGUUUAACUUAACGAUUGUCAUGAAAUAACUUACUACCUCGAUUCAGUUUUGAAAUAUUGAUAUUGAGAACUUCAAAUUUCUGUUCAUUCUCAAUACAAAACAUUGAUAAUUUUAAUUUAAUCAUUUCCUUGUUUCAAAUGAAACCAAUAAGAGCCCAUAUUAAAUUAUAUAACCUUGAGGCUAAAAUCAGUCUGCUUUUUAGAUUUUCAACGUUGUAGUAUCAAUUAAACUAUUGAAAACCUAUAAAUGAUGUAUUUAUCUUUUGCACAAAUAAAUCUCCAUAUUCUUUAACUUUAAUAUAUUUCUCCCAAAAUUUCCUGUAAAUAGGUUUUCAUUACAUUGACUUCAUCUGAUGUAAAGGAUUGCUAGAGCUCACUGUUUCUAAGAUUCAAACCAUAUACUUCCUUAUUCACUAUGACAUUCACACUUUUAGAACAAGACACAUUGAUGCUAUAUUUUUUGUAUUUCCAGCGUAAGUACCGAUACUACAAUCUUCCGACUUUUCUAUGUGUUAUUUUACUCAAAUUUCUUCACCACCUUACACCGAGUACAUGUACCGCAAAAAUCUUAAACGUUUUGUUUCAUUUAUUAUUGCAUCGUUUUCCCAACUUUCCACACAUUUUUAAAAGCUUUUCCUUGUUGGAAAUAUAACACAACAAUCACACUUCCAGUAGGCUGGACUGUGUUUUUAAGAAAUCGAUUUGAAGCAACAAGGUUUAAGAUUCAGAUCUACCGUGCGUCACCUUGGCCAAGUGUCUUAUACUAUGUACUAUGACCUAAGACCUACCAAUAUAAGUGAAACUGUUGGAAAAGCACGGAGUGAAAUUCCAAGGUAUAUGUAUGCAUAUAUAUGUGUAUUUGUGUUUCGUUGCGUUCCCUAUGGUAAAAGCUUAACGACCGGUGGUAGUUUGAUAUGCUUUCAGAUGCCCGUAAGCCCCAGGAGAGUAUCACACCUAAAAUAUUAGUAUGAUUAGUUUCAUUAAACACUUUAAAGCAAUGCCCAGGAUUUUCUUUGUGAGAGAAAUGAGACAUACAUACGUAUACAUAUAUAUUAAUAUAAAUAUAUAUAAAUUUAGACAUAUAUAUGUAUACAUGUAUAGGUAUAUUGUUACAUAUAUGUCUAUAGUUAUAUAUAUAUAUAUAUAUAUAUAUAUAUAUAUAUAUAUAUAUACGUAAACAUACAUUCAUACAUAUAAUAUUGAUAGAAUAUUUAUCACAGACAUCUUGUAGUAAGUAUUCCUGGCCUAUAUUAUUACAAUUAUGCGUAUAUAUGUUUUGGCAGCUUUUUUGUAUUCAUAAUUCGCUUUACAAUAUAAAUGUAAAUGAAGCAAGAUUAUGUAAGUUCUCUCCGACGUCAGUAUUAUUAAAUCCAACAUCUAUAAUCGCCUUUCCCAUCACCGCCGCAAACAAUGCUAACACCAGCACCAAAAUGAGAAAAUCCUAACACCAUCAUAAUCAUCAUCGCUUUCAUAGUUAUGGUCAUUAUCGUCACCAUCACAACUCUGUGGAGCAGAAACAGUAAAAGCUGAUUAGUUGAGACAGAAAUACAUUCGAAACAUCAUAUACAUUCAACCAUGUUGUGGUGAACAUAUAGCAUUAUUCUCGCUGUUUCUCUGUGCUGAAUAUGUUGAUGGGUUUCUGAUAAGAACGUUCAUCUAUGCGCCCCUCCAAAUUAGCCUAUUUCAAAUUAGAAAACUAAGAAGGGAAAUAAAAUACAGAUGAUGAUUAUGACAGUAAUACUAAUUAACAUUAUCACAUGAAGAGAGCAAGGGAAGAAUUAUAGUUAUACCGUAUGGUACACUUUAGCGACUGAAAAACACAGAUACUUUUGCAAGCAUGUACCUACACACAUACACAGAUAUACAUGUAUUUGAAUAUAUAUAUAUAUAUAUAUAUAUAUAUAUAUACAUAUAUAUAUCUCACCAUGAUAGAUCGUUAGCUACUACACACAUUUUUUCUCUCCUUUUUUCUCUCCUUUUUUUCUCUCCUCGUUUCUCUACUUGUUUUUUCUAUGUCCCUUUCUGUCUGUAGAAGAGCGUAGGCUCGAAACGUAAAAUAUUUUUUCUAUUCCUGAGCAUUAUACUAAUACAUCUGUUGGUUUUGUAUAUCACCUGUCUUCGUCUUUUUUUUUUUCGUAAACUCUCCCUAUAUAUAUAUAUAUAUAUAUAUAUAUAUAUAUAUAUAUAUAUAUAAACGGCAGUUUGUCUGUGCGUGCUUCUGUGUGUCUGUUUGCUUGUACCCUCACCCUGACCACGGCUUUCAACCGAUUCUGAUGAAACUUGACACACACAUAGCCCAAUGUCAUAAUUCAAAACUAACGCAGCGAAAAUUUUGAAAAGUUCCCCCAGUUCUGAAAAAAAUCGAUAAAUUCGACAUGGGGUCGAGAAUCAUAAACACAAAACCACAGACUGUCUAGGGGACGCAACUCCACCUUUUUUAAUUAAAAAUAAAAAAAUUUACCAUCAUUUUUUUCCAUUUUUUUGCUAUUUUUGGGCUAUAACUCUCUAAAAAUGCUUUAUAGUUAUUUCCCUUACAACCUGAGCAACGCCGGGCGAUACUGCUAGUAUAUAUAUAUAUAUAUAUAUAUAUAUAUAUAUAUAUAUAUAUAUAUAUAUAUAUAUAAUUUACAAAAUAAGGUCAAAAGAAAAAUUUAAUGCCAAAUAUGCCGAAAAAAAGACAAAAAUUGUCAAUAACCAUUAUAAUUUAUGCGUCUCGAUACGGUAAUAACGGAUUUUUUAGAAAUUUCUAUCGAUUUGUUUCGAGACGCAUAAAUUAUAAUGGUUAUUGACAAUUUUUUUUUUCGGUAUAUUUGGCAUUAGAAUUUUUCUUUUGCCUUUAUUUUGUAAAUUAUUUAUAAAUUUUACCUUUAAAGGUAUUUUUUGAUAUGCUGGCCAUUGAUAAAAAUUUUUUCCCGAAAAAAAAAUGUUAUCCUACAUUAGUUAUAUAUAUAUAUAUAUAUAUAUAUAUAUAUAUAUAUAUAUAUAUAUAUAUAUAUCCCUCCAUCUCUCUCUCUCUCUCUCUCUCUCUAUAUAUAUAUAUAUAUAUAUAUAUAUAUAUAUAACCUCUGAUAUGAAACAGUGAGAAUGAGUACCCAACACAUGGAUUAGUAGAUAAGUAAUCUUUAUUUGUGGGACAACAAGGCUACCAAUGAUUUCUUGCAGCGUCUCUUUACAAUUCUGAAGCGCAUGGUACCGUUGGUACUCAUCUCCAUUUAGGAUGAGAAUACACGAAGGAAAACCAGGCUAUACAAGCUUUCAAAGCAUGUGUUCAUACAUAUCAGGGAAGACAACUUAUAAGGAAAUCUUACUUCUUGUCUGUUUUCCCGGAUUUGUGUAAAGAACUGCAUUCCCCAUAGAUUAACUGCGAGAAUAUCCCAAAUAAUAAAAAUAUAUGCACAUGACAUACUCAGUAAUAAAAUACACACACACACACAUAUAUAUAUAUAUAUAUAUAUAUAUAUAUAUAUAUAUAUAUAUAUAUAUAUAUAUAUAUAUAUUAUUUAUUUAUUUAUUUAUUUAACUAUAUUAUACGUUUUUUGUUUGGGUCUCCAAUUUAUCCCGAUUUAUACAGAGAGGGACGUGUCUUCACGUCCUUCUCUGUAAGUGUCCAUACAAUUUUGGAUAAAGACGGUCUCUGUCCUUUUGCUUUUAUUUCUGAAUGAACGCAAUUGUUGCGUUAUAUAACAUUUCGAAGGUGUUUUCCGCUAUUUCAAUGUAUUUUAGCUGUUCCCUUCAAAUAUAUAAUGCUACCCUUGCACAUUAAUAGUAUUUUGAGGCACCUAUUAUUCAGAGGUCAGGUACUCGUAGGCAUUAAAUAAAACGAGAAUUUGGCAAUACUCUUAAUGUUGUUAUUUUUAUUGUGGUUGAAAAUGAUCGAUCUUAUGUUGUGGAGUCACAUGAAGCUAACUGUCAACGUAUUCUUAAAGCUCUUAUGGUAUUUAUGCGAGUGGGGGAAGUGCUUAUCAGUUAGUUCCAGGAGUUUUCCAGCUUAGGUGUAGCCACAUUCUUGCAAUAUAGAAUAUUGUAUUAUAUUAUUUUAAUCUGUCUACGUCUUCUUGCUGUAUCUAUAUUUGGUUCAAUAUGAGUUAUACUAUUAAUAUUGGAUCUUUCUAAUGCAGUGUUGUAGCCUUAUUAAGAGUAACUUUAUUAUGUUGAUUUGACUAAAUAUUUAGUAUAAUGUCUUUGUUUUCUUAUCUUAUCCAUAUCGUGUCCAUUUUUGUCUUGUACCAUUCCAAGACCGUCGUACCUAUACUUUCCUGUAUCGGCCUAUUUUAUCUCUGUUUUAAAGACAACUGGGACACAAAUUCUCACCACAUCAUAGCUAUCCAUAUAUCUCAUACCAACGUCAUGUAUCUCAUCCCAAUCAUUUCAUAUCCAUUUGACACCCUUUAAUCCAAUAAGUGGGAUGUGCGUGUGUUAAUGUUACAAGUCUGCUGAGUUUCAAGUGCUUACAAGACUAGUGCGUUGUUGGUUACAACCAACUCCCCUGUCUAUUUUAAGCAUCUAAUUUUACAUCUUUGUGGCUUUAUUUCCAAAUACUGUCACGCAUUUCACAUUCUUUAUUGUGGAAAUUUUACGCAUUUAACAAUAAAAGGAUAUCAAAGACAUACAAAAUAUUAAAAUGUAUUCGAUAAUGUCACAAUCACAUAUUCCACUAUGAAAAUAGAAAUAAGAAAUUUCAUAAAACGUGAGAUUUCUCCGGUUCAUACGAGUUAAGUAUUUCUAUUUGAUCUAGAAAAGCUAGAUAGCGUGCUAGAUAGCUUAUGAUAAUAUAAAUUGCUUAAUGUCACAACUUUCAAUAUGUCAAUGAGAGUUUAUGAAUAAAUUAGAAAUAUUCAAUACAAAUUUGAGAAAAUCUCUUCAUAAAGAGUAUUAUAAUUGAUACUUACUGGGGAUUUGGGAGCAGUUGUGAAAUUUUGAAUAAGCUUUUAAGUGAUUCGUCACACCCAGCAUUAUAUGUAAUUGUAAUAUACAUAGAAAAACAGAAACCUACAACAGACCACUCACAUUAAUCAUGUUUAGAAUACAACUAGAUGAACAAUAUGCUUUCAAAUUCUAGGCCCACAUGCUUGAUGAACUUCCAUGAAGAGGGCUCAUGUGCAAGUCCAAACCACCUCCAAAAUUAUCUCCUAAAAUACAUCGCAAAAGCAAAAACCAGUUACGAAUACAUUAUAAUAUACAGAGCGUGCCUUAUUUAAACUCCAGGUUUAUAUUUGUGAACACUCUUAUAAGGUCAAAUCUCCACUCCAUUGAAUAAAUGCAAAAGCCAUCAAUAAAAGAGUGCAAAAUUUUAAUAUGAUUUCAUUUUUUACUAACAUUUAACACCCUCUCUCUCUCUCUCUCUCUCUCUCUCUCUCUCUCUCUCUCUCUCUCUCUCUCUCUCUCUUUGUAUAUAUAUAUACAUGGAGAUAGACAGAUAGACGGAUAAAUAGAUACACACGCACACAUAUCCAUAUAGUUACAUGGAAUACACUGAUUACGUAAGCAAUUGAAAUUAAAUGUUCUGAUUUAUUACUAUGUACUAUGUUCCUGCGAUAAAAGAAAUGCAUUCUUUCAUGGUUGACUUAAUUUUAUAGAUAUUACAUGUAACAGACUUGCAUUCUUUCCAGAGAAAGAUUCAUCUAUAAUCCUGUUAACGAUAUGAACAUAGUGUACAGAUCGCGGGUUUUAUAAGACUCCGUGCUUCAUGGAUACAUUAAGCAGCAUGUCAUCCUUCAUUGCAUUCUCAAGUAAUAUACUAAGACUAAUUUGAAUGGAUCGUGCGUUUGAAGCAUCAUUCAAGUCAUAAAUAGAAAGACGUGGAAAGGGCAAGAUGACAUUUAAUAUUCUGCACCUUGUAACACUGUCCAUUCUACAGAUAAUUAAUUUUGUUCGUGGUUUCAAUUGGUUCAAGAAAUCUAUUGAGUAAUAAAUGGAAACGUUGUCCACGACAUCAGUAUUAUUAAUUGAUUUAAAAUAUCGAAUCGAGUCUUCCCAAGUGAGAUCGUUUUUCCCCAAACCGUCACUAGUAAAUAUCGACAAGUCGUUUACAGACGAGAUAUAUCAGCGUAGAGUUGCGGCAAUACUGAAUUGUAUAUCGUCAUUGAUUCAAGCUAUAGACAAGCACCACCUGAGUUUCCGGCACUACUUAUUGAGUUUAUGUUUCAUUAAGGGAAAUAUAAUUAAUAGCUUUCUUGUUAGACACUGCAGAUAAUUCGAAAUUUUCGUUACUCGCAACAAUACCUCAUCCCUGCAGUAUUUCACUCACAAACCGAUGUGAUGUAACCACGUAUUUAUAUUACAUAGAGAUAUUUGGGAAGAAAUUAUCAAUAACAAUGUACACAAUAGUGACAUCAUGUGUACACUCUCAUAAAUCUAUAUGUUUAUAGGCAAAUCGGUGUGUGUAUAGCAGUGCUAUUAUAUAUAAAUAUAUAUAUAUAUAUACGGUUAAGUAAUUGAGAUUCAAGUGAAUUCAAUGCAGUUAAUCUUACAACCUCUUUUGUAUCUACCCCUUUUGAUGUUUGGGAAUUCUCUGAUGGUUUCUCGGCUGACGAGUACGAGCCAUCUGUAUUCACUGCAUUUUUUGUAGCUUAUUAAAGAUGUCCUCGUACGAAACGAUCGUACCGAGAUUUUAAUCCAUUCUUGUUGUUUUUUUCCUAUAUAUAUAUAUAUAUAUAUAUAUAUAUAUAUAUAUAUACAUAUAUAUAUAUAUAGUUUCCAGAAUUAAAAAUGACUACAUUUUGUAGUAUUUGUACACAAACUAUUAGCUUGGUUAUUAGAUAAUUGUAAAUCCCACAUUGAAACAGUAUUCACUGGUCGAAUAUGAUUAACUCUAAAUCAAAAACAAAGCAGAACAUAUAUAUAAACAGUUAUCUUUACACCUUGUCAUAGUUAAAACAUAUGUGUUCCACUGAGUGUCUCUUCCACAUUUUCUUUUACCUCUGGCUUUUUUAAAUAAUGAUUUCCAUUUAUAUAUUGCUUACCAAAUCGAAUGUAGUGAUACCACGAAUCGUAUCCUGAAAUGUAAUGUAUCCUACUCAAUAACAUAUCCUGUAUAAUUCUUAAUAUACCUAAAGUUAUAUGAAUAAAAUUUGUAGAUUUUACCCUGACGUGAUUUGCUAUGUUGAAAAUAGAAUCACAUCUUGUCUGCGUUUUAUAUAUUCGUUAAAGAAUCUAGAAACAAAAUCUACAUUGAAUUGAAAAUAUAGAUUCAUUCAAGUAAUUCUUACAUUACUAAUUAGCUUGGCGUUCCGGUACCAGAGUGGUACUCCAUAGGUUACAACGUCAAGGGAUCAGGUAGAUAAAAAUCAACGGAACUUAGUUCGCAAGGCGAUUCAACGUGACACAGGUGAGACAAGGAUGGUGCUUUGAAUUACAAGUACUACUCAAUUUUUGCCAGCUGAGGGAACUAGAGCAACGUGAAAUAAAAUGCUAUGCUCAAGGACACAACGCGUCGCUGGGAAUGGAACUCAUGACUUGCAAUCAUGAGCCCAUUGCCCUAACCGAUAUGCCACGCGCCUUCCUCGGUACAAGAGUACUCUAGCACUCAGUUAGCGAAGCUAUAUGUAUAUACAUACAUGCAUGCAUACGUACAUACAUAUCUCUAUAUAUGCAGGUUGCGAUGGGUAGGUUGUCGCCAUCUUAUACUUUUAAUUUCCCAUACGUGCACUGAUUCUCUUUGAUUUUUCUACUAAGCAAUAAUGUAAGGUCAGUUGGGCACCGUCUGCGAGAAAAACAGCACCAUAACACGGUUUUCUCAGCCAGAAAUGUGGAAACGACUUACUGUACUGCUUGGUAUUCGCGCAGGAAACUCCAAUACGAAUAUUUCAGAGUGUUUGAGUUUGAAGAAAGUGCAGAGGAUUCGGAAAGAGUUGGUGAUUACGAAGGUACGGCGGCUUGCACAAUUUCUGUGACCACACCACCCCUGAGAUAAAAUUGAUUGUUAUGUGUGGGGCGCAGUUGAGUGCGAGGUCAACAAAACUCCUUGAAACACCAGAGAUGAGGUGGAGGAAAGGAUUACGGCAGCAUUCACCAGCUUAAACAAAGACAUCGUCCACAACGGUUACAGGGGAUUUCGAACUUUUAUGGAGGCCGUGGUUGGUUUUGAUAGGGAUUUUAUUGAAUAAACUUACUCUUUGGUAUUUCAAGAUAUUUUUAUUUAAUUAUAAUAAAUGUAUCUGUUAAAAUGAGAUGUCAGUGUUAUUUUCAGUUUUUGCGUAAUUUCGACGACAAUUUAUUCACCCACCCUAUAUAUAUAUAUAUAUAUAUAUAUAGGAUAAAUGUAAAAAAAAACACAAACUGGGAAAAGAACGCAAAACAUUUAGAAGACGAUACAAAAAAACCGACGGGACACUCGAAGCCUUCAAUCUUCAGUCAUAUAUAUAUAUAUAUAUAUAUAUAUAUAUAUAUAUAUAUAUAUAUAUAUAGGCGCAGGAGUGGCUGUGUGGUAAGUAGCUUGCUAACAAACCACAUGGUUCCGUGUUCAGUCACACUGCGUGGCAUCUUAGACAGGUGUCUUCUACUAUAAACCCGGGCCGACCAAUGCCUUGUGAGUAGAUUUGGUAGACGGAAACUGAAAGAAGCCUAUCGUAUAUAUAUAUAUAUAUAUAUAUAUAUAUAUAUAUAUAUAUAUAUAUAUAUGUAUAUGUGUGUGUUUGUGUGUCUGUAUUUGCCCCCCUAUCAUUGCUUGACAACCGAUGCUGGUGUGUUUACGUCCCCGUCACUUAGCGGUUCGGCAAAAGAGACCGACAGAAUAAGUACUGGGCUUACAAAGAAUAAGUCCAGGAGUCGAUUUGCCCGACUAAAAGCGGUGCUCCAGCAUGGCCGCAGUCAAAUGACUGAAACAAGUAAAAGAGUAAAGAGUAAACGAGUAUAUAUAUAUGAUUACACAUUCCAUUAUUUUGUAUUUAUAACAUUAAUCCUAUAUAAUGCAGUCUUUAUAACGAAUAAAAUUUGAUAUAUUUGUUUUAUUUUAUCCGCAAAAUAUUUUGCAUAAUUGAUAUGUAGUGCACCCUAUGGGUUAUCCUAUAUCAAUUAAAAAAAUAUUGUGUAGCCUAGUGUCUCAUGAACUGCAGAGAUAAGAUAGACAUUUAAAAACCAAAAAGAGAUAAAUGGCAAAUUUCAGGUGUUUUGGGAACGACUAUAUCCAAAUCGGAAUUCUAUUGGCCGUCAUAUAAUUCAGAGCAAUUCCUUUUCACAUUCAUUCAAUGAAUGGCAAUUGUUCCGAUGUCAUCAACAAGAAUAUAUUACAGAUGGCAAUCAAUAUAAUUUUCUUGUUAUUUCUCAGCAAUCACAUUAGGUUGGUAGGUUGGUAGGUAGGUAGAUAGGUAGGUAGGUAGGUAGGUAGGUAGGUAGAUAGAUAGAUAGAUAGAUAGAUAGAUAGAUAGAUAGAUAGAUAGAUAGAUAGAUAGAUAGAUAGAUAGAUAGAUAGAUAGAUAGAUAUGAAGUGUAAAGGGGAGGACAGGUGAGGUUUACCCGUGGAAACAAAAGCCUACGGAAAAGACCACGGUAACCUCGGUCAAUGAAGUCACAUGUUAUAUUUUCUUUUUUUGGCAAAUAUGCAACACUCUGUAGAUAUAUAUAUAGAUAGAUAGAUAGAUAGAUAGAUAGAUAGAUAGAUAGAUAGAUAGAUAGAUAGAUAGAUAGAUAGAUAGAUAGAUAGAUAGAUAGAUAGAUAGAUAGAUAGAUAGAUAGAUAGAUAGAUAGAUAGAUAGAUAGAUAGAUAGAUAGAUAGAUCCAUAAAUAUUACAACACAAAUAUAUGAUAAUAUAUAAUAAUAGUAAUUGCUAGUUUCAGUAUAAGAGAAAAAGAAAUUAUUUCACUGCUUGAUGGUUUCCCUUUUCACUUUUCUGAGAAGAAUGGUUACAGUAAGUCUUUCUUGCGUUUUUUCCCAGUAAUUGUCUGGCUAUUCAUUUUGCUGGAUGGUUGUCCUUUGAUUAUAGUAGGCUUGAGUGGGUUGUUCGAGAUGUCAUUUGGUGUAUUUUGUUGGAGUGCAUUUGGCAUAUUUUGUGUCAGUGUAUAUUUGUCCACGUAAAGUGUCUACAGGUAAUUAAGGCGAACUGGCAGAAACGGUAGCACGCUGGGCAGAUGCUUAGCGGCAUUUCUUCCGUCUCUUCGUUCUGAGUUCAAAUUCUGCCAAGGCUAAAAUUGCCUUUCAUCAUUUCGGGGUCGAUCAAAUGAGUACCAGUUGAGCACUGGAGUCGAUGUGAUCAACUUGGCGCCUUCUCCCAAAACUGCUAACAUUGUGCCAAAUUUUGAAACCAAUGUGUCUAUGUAUAAUGUUGUGUGUGUUUGCAUGUGUGCAGUAAUACACAAAAUACACCACCGGACGCACAUAAAGGAGGAAAGUACUAGGGCUCUGUGAACGAGAAAUGAGAUCAGACACACACACAUACAUAGUUCUAUAACAAGUACAAAUACCUGCAGGCCUAUCUACGCUCAUAUAUGACGAGUCAGUUAACCCCUAACACUACUAUGUUAGGGAAGAGCGUUCUUUUAUUAUUUCUAACACAGCAUUUUUUAAGAUACGAAGAGAGACGCUUCGCUUUCUUGUAUGUUACGUUUUGAUAUUUUACCUUCAUCACAUACAGAUAAAUAUAUUAUUAUGUUAACACUUGUUACUACUGUUUUUAACAUAGCUCCGAAUAUGUUUGAUGCAUUUAGGUACGUUUUGUAAUUCUGAACUUGAACUGCUUCCUUCCAAACUAUGCAUUUGAUUUUUAUAUAAUUUUUUAAAGGACAUUUCGAUUUUAUCACGCCAUCUUUUAUGAACAUUUAUCCACCAGUAUAAAAGACAUAGAUUCGCAGUUGUUAUAUUAAAUUUCAUUUUCUUACGUAUUGUUUUCAAAUUUAUCACACCUGUCACAAAAUAAUAUCCACAAAUAUAUUUUCUCAUGUCCUUAUAUAUUUCGAAUUUGAAUCGUGUCCGUUUUAUUUUUACCAGAUCUUUAUAAUGUGUCUAAAUACCCGAUCUGUCUUUUUCUGCGACUUUCACACGCUUCACUAACAACUCAUAUAGUGUCUAUAAUUUCUCACUCUUUCUUGCUCGAUUUCUGACGGAUUGGAUCUCUCCUUAAUGACCAUGCUUAUUGGCUAUCCUUGUUUGUUUCAAACUAUCAGUUGUAAUUAAUAGCAUUUAUUAACAAUUCUUUCAUUAUUUUUCCCUAUACUUUUCCUCACUUUCUUCUCAAUUAUGAUAUUCUUUUAUUUUUCUCCUAUUUACCACUUCCCUUUUGUCAUACUGAAGUUAUGCUUUUCUUUUUACAUUAAGUUAUGAUAUACUUAUAAUGCAUGACACGAAUUCACCCACCUUACUGGUGAUAUGCGUUUAGUGCAGAGAAAUACAUAAUUAACUGAUAAUAGGGCAUAAUUAAUAUCAAUAUAUAAACUAAUUAGAUAAAGUAAUAACACAUAUUUUAAACAAUACAAAAGAUUACGUUGAACUGCAUACGAGAUUCAUGGGAAACAUUCCAGUAUAAUUACGUAUGAGACCCAAAAGGUGUAUGACAUAUAGGCUCCAGUUUUCAAGUGUUACUUAUUUUAUCAGUCCCUAAAUGAAGAAAAUCAAGGUCGUUCUCGGGAGAAUUUGAACUCAGAACACGAAGACAUACGAAAUACCUAUAAACAUUUUUCUCAGCACUGUAACCCUCCUGGUUACAUAUAUAGAGCCAAAAGAUGAGCAGAAUACAGAUGUGGUAUUCAAAGCUUUAGGGCAUGCAUGUGUUUCAAUAAAUUCCCAGAUAAUUACAUAACACUAUUCAAUCAUACAUCGCACCUCAUCAGUGACGUGGCAUAAACACCAGAUCACCUUAACGUAUCGCUGUCAUCUUUUUUUUUAAUAUACAUACAUGUGAGUGUGUCUGUGAGUGUGAAGUGUGCAACUGUAUAUGUAUGUGAAUGCGUAUAUACAUAGGAUAUCAUUCCAGUUCCAAGAAAGAAAAUUAUUUCAAGUAAGUAUACGCUCUAGAAUAUGCAUUAAAAUAUACCUUCCUUAUUUGACCUAUAACAAAUCAUCGUAUAACUGCAUUAUAUAUAUAUGUCUCCAUAUUUCUUUGUUUACAAAUUAGUAAGUGCGUGUAUGUGAAACUGUAAAUAUAUAUGUUAUCUUUUAUAUUUUACUUGUUUCAGUCAUUAGACUGUUGAAAUACUGGGACACAGCCUUAAAGUAUUUUAGUCAAACGAUCGACUCAAGUACUUCUUUUAUACCUGGUAGUUGUUCUAUCGAUCGUCUUUACCGAACCGAUAGGUUACGGAGACGUAAACACACCAACACUGGUUGUCAAGCGGUGGUGGGAAGACAAACACAGAUACAAAGACACACGCAUAUAAAUAUGUACACAUAUGUAUACAAGACAGGCUCCCUUUAAUGUUUGUCAGCCAAAUGCAUUCACAACGCUUCGAUCGACCUGAAGCUAGAGUAGAAGAUACUUGCCCAAGGUAUCACGCAGUGGGUCUGAAUCUGGAACCAUGUGGGUGGGAACAAAGCUUCUUACCACACAGUAACGCCUAAGCCUACACACGCAUUCACAAAUAUUUACACAUACAGCAUAAAUAUACACGUGUGUUUAUAUAUAAUUACAUAUAUAUAUAUAUAUAAGUGUGUGUGUGUAUAUGUUUGUGUGUCUGUGUUUGUCCCCCUAGCAUUGCUUGACAACCGAUGCUGGUGUGUUUACGUCCCCGUCACUUAGCGGUUCGGCGAAAGAGACCGAUAGAAUAAGUACUGGGCUUACAAAGAAUAAGUCCCGGGGUCGACUUGCUCGACUAAAGGCGGUGCUCCAGCAUGGCCGCAGUCAAAUGACUGAAACAAGUAAAAGAGUAAAAGAGUAAAAGAGUAUAUUUAUAUAUGUGUGUGUGUGUGUGUUUUCACAUAGCCAUAUUUGGUAUAUUGCAACAUCUAAACAUGAACAUAUGCUCCUAUAUAUAAAUAUAAAUAUGGUGUGUGCCCAUAUGUAUUUAGGGCUAUCACGAGAAAAGCGUCAUUACUAUAUAUAUAUUGAUAUAUAUUACUAUAUAUAUAUAUAUUGAUAUUCAAUUUCGAGUAAGAACAAUGGAUUGACACCAAAAUGCUGUGUUUGAUUCCUUUCGCUACCUUAUAUCAUUUUCCUUGUAAUACAUUUUAAAAAUUUCACUUUCUAAAUGUGCUUUGCCCUAUUAAACUGAAUAAAUCCUUUGCUUCAUAAAUAUAAACGGAGACUUCCUUUCUAUUAGAGAUAUGCGCAUUGUGUUUGUGUAGAGUUUCUCCAAACAUAAAGAUACCUAUCUGUCUCAUAUAAUUAUAUUUUCAAGUAAUAUAAUUCAUGAAACAUUUUGGCCAACUUUCAAAAUAAAUGAGAGUAUAUUUUUAUUUAAAUUUCAUUUUUGCAAAUCAUACAUUUAGAAUGACUUGUACUGAUUUUCUAACAUACCUCUUCAAUACGAUUUAAGUAAGUAAUUUUAAAUACAUCUAUAGGAUUAGCGUGUACAUAACAUGAUACAUAAAACUACGAUUAGACAUAUUCCACUUCUGGUUUAUAUUGUAGUACAGUGAACAUCACAUCCACGCUAGUUUCUUUCUUCUUUAUAUUUUUGCAGUAUCUUUAACAAACAAGGAAAAACCGUUGCUUUAAAAUUGAACCGCAUAAUAGCAUAAAUAUAUGCAAAUACAUAUUAAAUUUAAUAUACAUAUUAAAUUUACACUCUGUGGGAGUGCAAAUUUAAUGGAUGUUUUGUGUAAAUUUGCACAUUGUAUGUGACUCUAUGUGGCUCACAUUCUAUGUGAGUGUAAAUCUAAUGUAUGUGUUUGUCUAUAUAUAUAUUUUGAAAUGUGUGUAUGCAUGUUGAAGGUGGCUGUGAUUAUGUUUGCGCAUGUUUUUGCAUGCAUCUGUAUUUUAAAAGGUUUUAGUGGUGUGUUAGUGUUUGUGUAUUUGCGUUUAUGCUAGUUUACAAAAGAAGAACGCUUUCAUAUUUUAAUUCAAAGUAUCAAGGAACAAAAUUUCAGUGUCAUUCGCCCUUAAGUCUUUAACACAAAGGUUACCUACAAAUAAUUUUACAAUUUUCGUUUUAAUCUCUCUUCUGCAUAAUUUUAUGCAUAAUUAACUAUAUCACAAUAGUAAUAAAUCAAAUUCCAUUACUCAAUAUUCUAUAUAUCAUUCUAUAUGCUAUUUCAAAAAUAAUAAUCACUUCAAGAUGAGACAAAAGAAACUUAGGAACUGAAAGAUAGAUUGAAUGUUCUAUUUGAUAUGAAGAAUCAAGUAGAAAAUAUUAAAAUGCAGGACUGGAUUUUUUGCAUCAACAUUUUUUUCCUAUUUUGCAAUUUUGUUAUUUAAAUAACUUACAACAAAAUACUUCUGCCCGUGCUUUUCAUCAUCAGUGACAAAGUUUUUCCUGUUCACUUGCGAAAAGCUUUCCACAUAAAAUUACAACGUUCUUUACCAAAGCAAUCUGCACCAUUGAAAUAACAUGUUGAAGAGAAUACGUCUUAUUUGUUUACAAUUCUAAUAUUGUUUUUAAAAUCCUUGAUUGGAAAGACCGGUUGUCAUCAAUGAUAGCGGGGGUCUGAAAGCAACUUAUAAAUUUCGGGAAAUAAUCAUUGCAAUCCAAAGAUUCCAUAGACCGAGUAUCUCUCAAAUGAUGAUUUAUGAGGGAAUCUCCAAUAACACGUCUUAAUAUAUUCCUCAUAAUUUUCGCAUUUCAAAAUAAAAAAAGAAUUAACUAAUCACAUCCCAUUUUGAAAAUAUCGGGAAAAUUCUCAGAUUUUGCAAACAGCUAAUCAGAACUUUAUUAUGUGAGAUGGUGUGGUGAUUGAUCUUCAUAACCUUGGGUUCUAUGAAGUGAAUCUGUGCCUCAUACAUAUACAUAUUUAUUCACACACACACACACACACACACACACACACACACACACACACACACACACACACACACAUAUAUAUACAUAUAUAUAUAUAUAUAUAUAUAUUUACAUAUAUAUGUGUACACAUAUAUACACAUGCGCAGACACACACACAUACACACAUAUAUAUAUAUAUACACACACAUUCAUAUAUACAUGUGUACGUAUGUGUGUGCUUGUAUUCGUCUUGGAGAAUCUCGUGUUUGAAGAUAGAAAUUAAGCCCUCAUAACUCUUUAGGCGUUAAUAAAAGAGACGCUAUGUCUGAAUUUCACAUUACCUUGCUCCGUAAAAUGAAUAGUUCAUUCUUCAUUCUUUAGAGACUGUACUCUUCCACAUGGAGAUUUUAGGUCACAGGCUUUCAGAAGUUCAUCUAUAUUCCAUCUACGGAAGGAGAACCACGUGUCUUGCGAAUAUAUUAAUGUCUAUCUGUAAGAAUAUUAUUUUAGGCUAAUUGUAUGAUAUUCGUUUUUCUGGUCAUUGCAGGAAAUGUUCACUUUUUUGGUAGCUCCGGAUUCUCAAUGUAAACAACAAUUUACAUAUGCAUUUUAGUCGAACGAUCAACUCAAGUACUUCUUUUAUGCUUGGUACAUGUUCUAUCGAUCAUCUUUACCGAAUCGAUAAGUUACAUAGACGUAAACAGCCCAACACUGGGUGUCAAGCGGUGGUGGGAGGACAAGCAAGAAUACAAAAACAUACGCAAUUUUUCGAUAUUUGUUCCGUACUUAUGAUGGUAUUUCUAUGUUUUUCUUAUAUGGGUGCAACGCCUCACUAAAUGUAAGCAAUGCGGCUGACCUACGCACAUGUAACCUCUUCAAUCGCGUCUGACAUAGAAAUAAUUUAUACAAAUUUCCCGCUUACGUGCUCUGUCAACCUAUCUUUUUACAAAUCGAUUUACUCUGGACUCAUUGCGUCCUCGCGUCAUUUCAUGUGUGAGAUUUUUUCAUUCAUCAUCAAUUCAACUGUGUCUUGAGGUUUGGUGUUUUCUCCUGGCUUCUCCCUCCUAUAAAACAAUUACCUACUCGGGAUCCCGUACAAUGUUGUCAACUCAAACACCAAUAAAAAGACACUUCAAACUUAACUUUUGCUAACCAUGCAAUAUCCAGGCCCAAAAAACAUCAUUACAUACCAGCAUGCCUUGGUUACAUGCAAAUAUUUUCUUUUUAUACACUAAAAAUUUGUUGGAAAACUUUUUAUUUUUACCAUAAACUAUAUGCCGCUUCCAGGCAAGGAACUCCCCGUUUCUCCUAAAUGCUGCGUCUUGCUGUCACUGAAGGUUUGUACCUUGAAAGAUACAUAUGUAGGACUGCAUCCCUACAUCUGGUGAUUCCAUUCGAACCCAGAAUAUAUUUUCACUUUGAGCAAAAGCACCAAAAUAGCUGACACUGUUAUCUUUGAGUGAGGCUUGGAAAACUUAGUGCUGCAGAACAUCACAGUGAGCUCCUUGAUUAUAUCUUACGAGUACUUACAACCGAUUGCUUGGUUGCAAAUAACUUCACAUACAGCCUCGUUUCCCUGUGAAACAUGUGUUUUGUCUCCUCUUGCUGCCUUCUUUAUAGCUUCACACAAUGGCAUUUGUUCCAUUCAGAAGUUGUGUACGACACGUCGUUUAUGUUGUGCAUAACCUACAACCAUGCAUACAUGAUUGCAUACAUACAUACACUCACAUAUACAUACAUACAUGUGUGUGUGUAUGUAUUUGUGUAUAGAGCCAUUACGUUCUCUCCAGAACACGUCUGUGGAAUUUCUUCGCAGCUCACGUCUUUCCUACAAGUGUUCUAAUUGCAGUGUCUUAAAAUGAGCCUCCGGCUCAGAACAAAGGGUUCAGACGGACUUCAAAGGCCAAACAAAAGGACACUGCCAAACCCUCCUAACUAAGCAACAACAAAUAAAAGUAAUUUUGGUUCAUAUUAACUGUUCCGUUGGAAAAGUAACAAUACAUUCACUUCUAGGCACAUAAAAGAGAUAACCUUUAAUGCACCGUUCUUCAAUUUUUCAAACUGCAAUUGUUAUUGCGACAGUUUUGCCAUCACACGACUCUUCAUAACAUAAUAGAUUGGCGUUUGUGCUGCUGGAAGGAAAAUAUUUGGUAUUAUUUUUCCACUGCUUGCUUUCUUAAAGAAAACUGGAAUCAAUUCCGAAUACCGUUUGCCAAGUAAAUUUCUCUUCCUGUGCGUCCGUUUUUGUUUCUUCUUCAUAAGCAACUGUACUAUUUUAAGAUAUACAAGGAGACAACAAUUUAUUCUGUGUAGUAUUUCUUUUACAAUCGAUUGGACGAAAUACUGUUGCUUCCAGAAAAUACAGGUCACGGGUGGACAUCGUAUGAUGAUAAAUAUCCUUAUUUCAGAAAUGUGUUCGUACAUUGAAAAACCAAGCACUGUUAAUAUUUUAUACUACUGCUUGAGAUGCAGCGAAUUGAAAAGAUAGGGUUCGUUGAUUUAUCGUAAGGAAUUGAGUCGUCUAUCAUCCGAUUCAAUUUGUUUUAUUCAAUUUUGAGGAGUAAGUAAAUUUUUCAUCCUAUGACCUUGUCCUUUUCUGUAUCAUGACCAUUAUAAGUAAGAUAUGUGGCAGUGUAUUUAAAAUCGUCAUCUUCAGACCCAUAUCAUUCUUCACAAAACUUGUCCCUUGAACAUACUUCCUUCUGCACACUUCAUUACAUUUCUUUUAUGAAAUUAACUACUUCCUUCUGCAUAUUUUUUUAAAAAGAAGUUUUCUUCAUUUACUUUAAAAACUGCAUUGCUUUUAAGCGACAAGGAAAUAGAUGCUUUAUUUGCGCGUGUGUGUUUGUGUGUGUAUAACUGCAAAAUAAAUAUUUAAAUUAUAUAACGAUAAUUUUCCUCUAUAUGUUGAACUGACAAAUGUUUAAACAAUACUGAUUAAAAAUAUAGAGAAAUUUUCAAGUUUUCCUGACCUCAAAUUUAGUCUGCUUAGAUUAAUGAGAACGUUUACAAUAUCACAUGCUAUAACUAAAUAAUAAAGUAAUAUUUAUCAGUGACAAAAAGAUUGAUUUCUUUUUUAAUGAUGAAUAUUGAAUGGAUCAUCAUAACAGUUAUGCCUGAUUCAUUAACGGUAAUUUUUGAACACAUUGUUUUUCACAAUACUCUGCUUUCUUCUGCAUGACUGGUGCAGUAACCGAGUUCGUAAAGUAAAAUUCACUAAAAAUUACAUACCUAAACCAUAAAAUGCAGAAGUUAACAAGUAAAUUGUACAUUCUGACAAUAGAUUGUCUAAACAUUUUGGUUAAAUAUUACUAAUAGAACCAGUAUUCAUGUUUCUUAUUGAAACUAUAUCCUGUAGAUUGAAGCGGAUAAAAUAGCUUCAUAAAAUUCUAGUUCUAGCAGAAAAGCAAAACCAAGUUAUAGUUCAACGUCUGCUUGCGGGGAUCUUUUAGUGUUGCCAUUUAUAAAUAUAUGAUCAUGCUAUCUCGGCUGAUUCAUUCAAAAAUAAGUUAUGUUACAUCAUAUUUGCGACUUUACCUAUUAUUUGGAAAUUAGAAAACGAUAACGAGAGAGCCAUAUAUAUUCUACAUGUCCAUUCCAAUUAUAUCCGACACCAGCUCAAAAACCAUCUUCGUCGCAAGCUUUAAUUUUAUAACUCAUUUUUUAUAUGUGUGUGUGUGUGUGCGUAUGUCUGCGAUUUGGGUCUAAUAGGUGAAUUUGAAUCAGUGUGUUGAGUAAAACACGUUCAGAGUUUGGGUUACCUGUUGGGGGUAUAUUUCUUCUGGAUCUGCGUCAGGAAUCCCACAGUGUUAGUUGACAUAGGAAAAAUAAUUGAUGAAUGAAGCGUAAGAGUGAUUUAGCUCUAGUCUAUAUUCGAUACGAAGAUCGGUUCGAUCCAUCCGGCAAGUGCUCAUUACGGGUAGGAUUUUGCGCAUCUAAUUAUUUUGCAUAAAUCUGUGUAUUUUGUAUCACAUUAGGUAUGUGCAUAAAGAAGAGAAUGUCCCGCUAUAUAUAUAUGUAUAUAUAUAUAUAUAUAUAUAUAUAUAUAUAUAUAUAUAUAUAUAUAUAUAUAUAUAUAUAUCAGAUAUAUAUAUCAGAGACAUGGGUGUAAUUGUUGAUGACGAUCUCAGUUGGCGUGCACACAUCAACAAGAAGGUCGAUAUAGCUCGUAUGAUGAGUUCCUGGAUCUUAAGAACUUUCCGGUCCAGAGAACAAGGUGCCAUCAUACCACUUUUCUCCUCCUUUGUACGGCCACACCUCGAAUAUUGCUGCCCACUGUGGUCUCCCCAUACAGCAUUCGAAUAAUCCUAUCAGGUGGUGCUAUUAAGUUAGACAUGGCCUGGACCACUCUUUGGUCGAAACAUAUCAAAGUUUAUAUAUAUAUAUAUAUAUAUACAUAUAUCAUAAAUCCCCUAAAAAACGAAGAACAAAACAAGAAAAGACAACAACGCGAGUACGUGGUACAUGCGAAGUAUUAGCAGACGCUCAGGGAAUUAAAGAAAGAUGGUCAUAGAUAUUAGAAUAUUUUAUUCAAGAUUCAUUUACAACGUAUAAUUUUAUAUGUGUGAACGAAUUACAACUUUCAAAAGAUUCGGCUUCGAUGUGGCUAUUUCAUAUUGAUUCAAUUGAUAACGUAUACAGAAUUCAAUGAUAACAAUUCAAUUGAUAACGUAUACAGAACUUCGGUGCACGGGCUACAGGGCAGGGUACUAAUAUCUAUGUUUUCUCAUUAUUCAUUGUGCCCUCAGUUACAGGAAACGUUAUACUGCAGUAGUUGUUUUUAUCACUGAUAAUAAAAAACCUAUUCCCUUUGAGAUAAAGCAAUAAUUUAUGUUUACAAUUAUUUUACUAUAAAUAUUUCAUAGAUUUAUUGCCUGAUGAAUUCCAUGGAUUGAGGUUCAGUACACUUUCGGCUCUUUUAAAUAUUAUCUCCAUAUCUCGUAUCUUACCCCGAGCAAUUUCUCUAUUCGUUUAUUUUUAUUUUCAGUAGUUCUUCUAAUGAAGGAUCAGUGUGCGGCAGAUUAGAAUGCUUCGCCUUCCGUUUGAGUGAUAAAUUAAUCCAUUUGAUAAAACUUUUCCGUCCCGUAUUUUCUUCAUUUAUUUGUGUUCAUUAUCUUCAGAGUAUACUUUAACGAUUUAGCGAACUUCAGAUUUUUCCUAUUCGCUGCUCCUUGCGCAGCCGCUAGUGACCAGAAGCCACUGCACAUUUUAACUAUUUAUUCCCACCCCCAAAACACCGUCCCCUUCGCCUCCACCGUCAACGCCUUCACCGUCGCCGCCUUCUUCAUCACCGUGACUACUACCAACAUCACCAACACUCUUCUCCUUCCCACCUGCUUUUCUCCGUAUUUUACAUAUAUACAGUGAGACUCAUCCUGGACUCAAUGCCUCCAAUUACUUCACCAAUUUGCAUCGCUGACCAUCGCAGUAGGCACUGGACUUGAACAAUUCAGCCUUAUGUAUCUAAUUACCGAUACCUGUCUGUAUCUAACUAUCUAACUAUAUUAUUAUUAUUAUUAUUAUUAUUAUUAUUAUUAUUAUUAUUAUUAUUAUUAGUGAGUAGGCGGCCAGCUGGCGGAAUCAUUCGUAUGUUGGGGAGAAUGCUUCGCGGCAUAGUUAGAUACAGACAGGUAUCUACUUCGACUUCCGAAAAUCUUUGCACCGUAUGAAAAUCCCCCGGGCAGAACUGGACAAUCUCCUGUCAAUUAUCGCUCCGAUUUCAUCGUCAUCAGACCGGGAGAUAAAGGCGGCGUUAUGUUGGUGUUGGUGCCCGAAAUCUAUAAAACGAAACUAUGCAUUAGCUUCGGAAAGACAUCAUCUAUAUUCUAGUGUCAGAAGGCGGCGAGCUGGCAGAAACGUUAGCACGCCGGGCGAAAUGCGUUGCCGUAUUUCGUCUGCCGUUACGUUCCGAGUUCAAAUUCCGCCGAGGUCGACUUUGCCUUUCAUCCUUCCGGGGUCGAUAAAUUAAGUACCAGUUACAAACUGGGUUCGAUGUAAUCGACUUAAUCCCUUUGUCUGUCCUUGUUUGUCCCCUCUAUGUUUAGCCCCUUGUGUGUAGUAAAGAAAUAUAUAUUCUAGUGUCAUUUAACCACAACCUUGCAACUGACACUUUGUUUCAUUACCCUCAUCAUCUUGUUUCCUCUUCCCUCUUUCUUCCUCUGACUCCUACCUCGUAGCUCGUCCACAUCCUUCGCACCCCUACAUUUACAAACUGCUCAGGGCUAACAAAUUCGAAAACUUUGGCUACACAUUUAUCUCUGCUUGUAAUCACCCUCACUGAAUUCAUUUCUUCACUUACAGGCAGAUACACUCCAUGACACCUGGCUGCUGAUUGCCUCUCCCACAUGUAUUAAACCAAACAUUAUCUACAGUACGCCUUUCCUUUUCCUUCCUUCUCAUCCCGCCUCAGUUUCACCAUGGAUAUCACCCCUCUUUACAUCGCCAUCCCUCAUGGUGAUGACGUUCAAGUUCUUAAGCACUUCCUCCACCUAUUUUCUACUCCCUGUCCUAAAAUCUCUACUCUGUUUCGUUUAAACGAACUUCUGCUCACACUUAAUUGUUUCCUUUGUGUGGGUUAUAUGUAUGAACAAGUUGUUAUAGUAGCCAUUGGAAAGAGAGCAACGCUAUGUCGGCUAAGAGGAAUCCCAGAUAUUCACCCAGUUCACAAGUCUCACUCUAGAGCUGCACUCUCGUUAAAUAUGCCUGAGUUCUUUUCACACCUCCCUCCAGUUUACGUUUCCCAUCUCUGAUACUUCUCUUAACAUUUUCGAUAUUACUGUCUCUAUCAACAAAACUAGCCUCGUACUUUCCACCUCCCUUUUCUGCAAACUCCAACUCCAACUCCUAUUUGUUUUCUCCUACUCGAACGCCACUUAUGCCAAGCGCUUCUUCUAUUCCCAGAUCAUCCGUCUCCGGCAUUUCUACUGCAAUAACCACAGCAUCAAAAUGUAGUUUCAACAAAUGGCAUGCGUCUUUAUUCGACGUAUUUACACACUCUCCCUUAUCCAUUCUGCUUUAAACAGUUUCCUUAUCGUUGGUCGCUGUUCAGCCUUUACAUCAUGGAUCUGGGAUCCCACACAUUGCAUUUACUAUCGUCUGAACUACCAUCCAGCUACCCUGCCCGUACAGCAUACCAUCAUCCUUUACUCCUCCUGUCAUCAGUGUGACCCUGCCACAGCCAGCUUCUUUUCCCUUCCAUUCAAUUCUUCCUCAAGUGUAGCUCAGAUUUGCAACUCCCUCAUUCAUAGCUGCUUCUUCCCACAUAAAACACCCUUUUCCAGAUCCUUUCGCACCCCGACCUCGCUUGUACUUUUCCAUCACUUUCACCCGUACCAAACGUAACCAUCGUAACUUCUGCAAUAGGGAUUCCUUCGCUGUACUUUAAUAACCUAAUAUAAACAUAUAUAUUAAUAAGCAAUGGAUACAUAGGUUAUUCAUGUAAUCACUCACACGCACACACAGAAGACACCUUUCAUUAUGGAUAUGUGCACGUUUGUACAGGUAUAUAUGCAUAAGUGCGUAUUUGUUUCUCAGCUAUACAUUUCCACAAAAUAUUUUAGAAUUAUUGGGUCUUCAUGAUCACCUCUCGAGUGCUACGUGAAUUUAUCCAAUAUUUUAACGGAAGGCAUAACAUCAUUGGACAUAUAGGUACAAAAUGCGUAAUGAAUUAAGCUCUGAUGCUUUUAGGAGAAAAAUACGUCACUAAAGCUCUCAUUUCUUCUACUCAUCCUUUCUCCAUAUGAGUUAAUAUCUCUCGACAUAUAUAUAUAUUUGUGCGUGUGUGUGUAUGUGUGCGUGUUUGUGCGUGCGUGCGCGUGUCUGUGUGCACGUAUGCAUGCGUGCCCACACAGACAUGAAUUCUCUAAUAAUAAUAUUAAUACAGAAAGAAUCAAGAUCUAGAUAUAUCAGUAAAAGAGCAAGAAAAUUUGCUUGAUACUGAUAUAUAACAGAAUGCUUUCAAUAGAAACUCAUAUUGAAAUUUGGAAAUUUCAUCUUAAGCAACUUGAAAAAGAUCCCAGCAAUACAUGCGCUUAUUCAGCUAAACAAUAAUUUUAUGAGCAUAAAGGCUUUAAUUUUAGGGAAACUCUGUUUCAAAGCAAGUUACAGUUAUAUGGAAUGCAAUAGAACAACGCUUUAUAAAUGUUAGAGUUGAAAAGGAUAUUAAAGUUUUGGUUAGAAAAGAAAUACCAAAGGUUGUAUUUGCAUCUGAAUUGUCAAUACCUAGAGGAUGAACCUUAGUAUUAGUUUCUGUAUCGUCUGCCCAAAACGUCAUGUCAUUUUCCUUUCAAAUGUCCGGUACGUUUUAAACCAAUACGCAUCACCUUUCAAUUACAAAUUAUUUCUUUUGAAAAGUCACCUUAUCAAUAUUCUUACAUGAAAACAUUUCUUUACAUAAUUUUAAUUCGAUUUAGGAAGUCUACAGAUCUGGUAUAUUUUAAUGGGGUUCAUUUAAUACAAAACGUAUUCAAAUGCAGUCAAACUUUAACUCAAAGGGGGAUCACAUUACAUUAUACAACAUAUUUAGUAUUAUCCUAACAUAUCCCUUUAAAUGAUUACAUAUUGAUAACACUAAAAGGAUACAUAACUUCGGCAAACUGUACAUAUCAUUAAGGUACUGGCAGAUUACUAUUCACUUUUUGUCCUUGCACGAUUUUCUGCGAGAUGAGGUAUAAUUGUUUUGAGAAUAAAUUCCUCUUCCAUUCUCUUGGGCUUGGAAAAAUUAUGUAUCAAGCAGGGACGAUGAUUUGAUAGGAUGUAUAAUGCAUCGUAUCAAAUGACAACUGGUAUUUAGUCACGCCAUUUUCCUUCCAACAUCAUGGACGGUAUAAGUAAGUUUUUACUUUGGUUUAAAUACAACGCAUUUUCCGGUCCGGAAAUGGGAAGCUUAAAACUACGAUCAUGAGUCAAACACCCUGACCAUUACAUCAUAUAUUUCCACAAUAUAAGUAUACAUAUAAAGAGUAAUGACACCCUUCGGUCAUAAAUGCCCAUGGGACUGCACCUAGAAAGCUACCCCCCGAAGCACAAGACCGUGCAAGGUUGUUUAUGGAAAAUCAACAGUCGCCUAUGCAUACCAGUCUUCCCUCUCCACCCCACAUACGUUGUCCAAGGGAAAGGCAAUACAUUUUUACAGCUCAGAGAACUGGAGCAACGUGAAGUGAAGUGUCUUGCUCAAGAACACAACACACAGCUCGGCACGGUACUUGAAUUCACUACCUCAUGAUUGUGAGCGCGACGCUCUAACCACUGAGUCAUGCACUUUCACAGAAAAACGCACACGCACGCACACACAUAUAUAUGUAUGUAGGUAUGCAAGUAUGUAUGUAAGUAUAUAUGUAUAUAUAUAUAGAGAGAGAGAAAGAGACAUAGAUAUACACGUACGUGUGUGUUUAUAUGUAUAUGUAUAUAUAUAUAUAUAUAUAUAUAUAUAUAUAUAUAUACACACAUACAUUACAGACUACAUUUGACUAAGAUUACACGAUAUUUGCUGAUCGGAGGCGAUUAUAUCAUUUCCGCAAAUAUAUCCAAUUAGAUGUAUAGUAGUAAUAAAAGAGAGAAAAGCAUGAGCACGAAAUCAUAUCACUUCUUUUUGCCACUAAAUCUUGCUGAAAAGCAAACGUCAUUGUACACAUUAUCCUCUUAUGUGGCUUGUUACAGCUUUAAGGAUAUCACAUUUGAAAAUAAUAAUCCUAAUCUAUGUUCGCUCAUUCAUUAACUCAUGAUCAUUGACACCCUUCAUCCAAUUAUUAUCUAAUUCUUCAUAAACAAAAGUAAAAGGUUUCUUAAAUGAAUUCAGUAUUUCAAUAUAUGAAAAGGAAAUUUUGUUUGUCUAAAUUAUUAUUGCAAUACGCAAAACAAAGCAAGGAAAGUGAGUUACCUAUGACCAUUAACUUCAUACUGGAUAAGAAUGAAUUGUACGUAUAUGUUUUUGACAUAUCCCGCUUUAGUGAUUGAAAUUAGAAUCUUUAGUGCAGCAGGUUGAAAGAUAUUGUUUUCUGUAAGUAGAUGGCGAUUUCGGAUGUCGAACAAACGUGGCGUGAAUAUAAAACUGGCAUAGAAAUUACUAUGUAUUUUACGAAAGAUUUUGCGAAAUAUAGCUUUAUGUACGCGCGCGUGCGUGUGUGUAUGUGUGAGUAAAGAUUAAGGUGAAAAUGACUUCCAGAUAUAUUUUUAUCUAACAUUUGCAUUGGCAUCAGUAAAUUCCCUCUUGCUAUUUUUAAAGAUGCCUUAAAAUAAUGAUGUUUUUUUCAAAUUGUAUUGCAUGAGUUAUAAAGAAGUUGAGAUAUACGCUCGAAUUUUCCCGAAAAUUGUAUUCUCAGACUCUGAGUUACAACAAUGACCAGCUUAUUAUAUGACAGAUGUUCAGAUAUUGCUAUCAAAUGUAUGUAGAGAAGAGAAACCCAUUAACUUUACUUUGCUAAGUUAUUUUCAUGGAGAGUAAUCGAGUGGAGGAAAUAUCAAGUAAUAAUCUUAGGCGUGUAUUUUUCACAACGGUUCAAAGUAUUUUAAAGUUAAUAAAAAAAAAACUUACAUAAUUUUGAAAUUUUCGUGUUGAUGUCAACGAUGUCGCUUAAAAUUAAAGGAGUUUACUUGAGAGUAAUUAAAUAUUAUUAAAAUAAGAGAUUACGGCAUAUUAUUUCAAGAUAAAUAAUACUAUGUUUGGUUUGACAAAAGUAUAAAUUAGACAUAUCUUCCAGGAAUUUAAAUCGUAAUACUAAAUUAAAAACAGUUAACACGUUUCUCGAGCAUAUGAUAAUUUAAUUAAUAUGAGAACAAUAGGAUCGUGAUGUAACGUUCAGAAUUAGAGUAAAAUUCAAUUUAAUACUGCAAAUGCGGAUCCGUGUUGGCUAGAUAUUAUUUAUACGUGUUGGUUAGCUCAAGUUUUACAAAAUACAGACAACACAGAAAAGAAAUUUCAACAAGAUAAGAUUAAUCCUAUUUAUACACGUAUUAAAAAUGUUAAAAUUUUCUAAAUCCCCCAGAGGCUCUCUCCGUUAAUUACUUAAUAAUUUUAACUCAAUAAAAUAAUUAACGUUUCAACUUAACUCUUAUGAACGUUUAAAAUCAGUAACCGUCAAAAAACGUGUAACAACUUCAAAACAAUAAAGUACGAUUGUUUAAGAGUUAAUAGCUUAAUCUCAUUAGAGCCUACCGACAAUCACAUUAUGUAUCAUUAGGAGAUAUCUUAUAUUCGUUAUGUUUCCAAAGGAACCAGUGGAAAUGAAACUAUUCUAGGUAUACCACUGAACGAAUACACGAAAAAAGAUGAAAAAGAUUGUUUAGGGAAACUGAAACAGAAUAAUGUGAGAGUAGUUCACAAUAACUAUAACAGUGGGCCUGCUGUAAGUGUGCGCCUGUAGGCCGUAUGGAGUGGAUAAGAGAGCACGCAUUCCUGAGGAGCCAUUGGUAUUAAGGGUUUCAAAGUGUGUACAGUAUUUUUAGUCACCUUACGGUGAAACUCAUCCCUAUAGAGGAAGCAUAUUGUUGGUUUAAUUUCUUUGUUAAUCGUUGUGUUUGCUUGCUGUUUACAUGCUUAACCACACUUUUCCUGGUCUGUGUAUCGUCCUCUGUUGUGCAAUCGACUCUGAUGGUCAAUAAAGAAUUAUUAUUAUUAUUAUUAUUAUUAUUAUUAUUAUUAUUAUUAUUAUUAUUAUUAUUAUUAUUGCUGUUGUUGUUGUUGUUGUUGUUGCCGUUGUUUAUAUUAUUAUUUUUGUUGUUGUUGUUCUUGUUGGUAUUAUUAUUAUUAUUAUUAUUAUUAUUAUUAUUAUUAUUAUUAUUAUUAUUAUUAUAAUUAUUAUUAUUGAGUGAGAGAGCAGUGCAUGCCAUCAAAGUGACACUGGGGUAAAAUAUACGAAGCCCAAUAUACACAUCAUGACUACCCGUCUGAUAAGGGUACACCAGGAACAUGCAUCACAACCAUAUGUUCACGACAUGGUGAUCUCAUAUCAAGAUAAACAGCACAUGACCUUGCAGGUGGGACCCAGUUAGAAUUUUUUUCUGGUCGAGUAGCCCAUCCCGCUCAAAGGGUCCCCGAAUAUGGAUUGUUUAAGGAUGUUGAACGAACCACCCAUGUUUCCAUAGGUGAAUUAUCCAAACCUCCAAGAAUUACUUUCAACACACGGCUAUGAUGAUCCCCCACUACUGCUGAUCGUGGUCAGGGAUGCACAUAUCGUCAGCCACUAAAGGACAUGGUCAAAUAGUUGAGGUCAAACAACUGACAAGUAAAUCUGUGGUAUUGAGCAGAAUAUUUGAUGUAGCCCAUCUUUUAUACGAAGACAAUGUACAUGUUAACACUUCCAAUCAGUCAAGAUCAGAAGCCAAGAUAGCCACUGUCUGGUACUGCAUCGGGGCAAGCCACUGUCUGGUACUGUUAUUAUUAUUAUUAUUAUUAUUAUUAUUAUUAUUAUUAUCAUUAUUAUUAUUAUUAUUAUUAUUAUUAUUAUUAUUAUUAUUAUUAUCAUUAUUAUUAUUAUUAUUAUUAUUAUUAUUAUUAUUAUCAUUAUUAUUAUUAUUAGUGAGUAAGCGAUCAGCUGGCAGAAUCAUUCGUAUGUCGGGGAGAAUGUUUCGUGGCAUUUGAUUUCAAUUUCCGCCGAGGUCGACUUUGCUUUACAUCCUUUCGAGGGUCGAUAAAUUAAGAACCAGUGGAACACUGGGAUUGAUGUAACCGACAUACCUUUCCGGUAACGUUUCACAAGAAGUAGAAACAGGCGAAGAAUAAGCGGCAUAAACUACUUUAUGGAGGUAAUUCAGAAACGAGCUCUCCGCACACACAACACUUUUAUUUUAAUUAUAUCGUUAGGUAUUCAAAUAUAUAUGUAUAUGUAUGUGUAUCUGUGUCCUUGAGUGUGUAUGUAGCAGUCUUCAUUUCCCCGUUGACAACAAAUGACUUUGAUAUUCAUUGUCAUUGGUAUCUACGGGAAAGCUGUUGUGAAACAUCGGUAAAUGCAGUUACUCUAUAAUUAAACCCAAUUCACGCACGUACCUAAAGUUUUGUGUCGGGGCGUAUUUGUUUUCUCUGAUCGUACUUCUGUUUUAUUUAUCUAUUAUUUUGAAAAUGUAAAUGUUUGUAUGUUCGCGCACUUACCGAUUGCUUUAGUUUGCGUAUACUUGCAACGGCAGAGUGUCAGUCUCUCUGUUAUGCCGAUGGUUUAAAUAAUUGACGUAUCAAAAUUUUUAAUUGAUGGUGAUUAAUAAUUUCCGUGAUGUACACGCUUCGGCAGUCUGCAAUAGAUAGCUUAUUAAUUUCUACAAAACUCAGGUAGAUAGUGUAUAUUCAUCGUACGAAAAUUAGGAAGAACUGAACUGAUUUUUAUAGCAUUUUGAAUGGUAUAAUUGAUGUUUGUUAGUUUCACGCAAAUUUAUGACAAAAUCCAUUGGGAAAAAUAGUACAGAAUGAUGCACAUAAUAUACAGUAGCUUGUCUUUCUUCGAGAAUUAUCAUAGGACGAAAUACAACGAAACUUAAUAAAAAAAAGCAGACGGUAGAAGAGGAAUACUAUUUUUCUCAUUACGACCGUACACAUUUUCGAAAGAAGAUUGGCGCCAAUUUAAUGUGUCUGCAAUAGGCAAUAAUUGAAUUCAAGACAACCAGAAUAGAAAAUGAGAUUAUGAACCUAUUAGAUGACCAUAAAUUCUAUGUGAGUGUAAAUCGUGGUAUAUAGACAACUGCUAUAGUAAAAGAAAUGUUUGCAUACAGAAUGUAUUGAUUAAUAACUAAGAAGUAAAAGAACAAUAGCACAACAUUUUAGCAGCUAAAUUGCUACUCUAGAAAUACUAGAGAUGUAAACUGUUUAGUUUUGAUGGUAAUUCAUUUUGAAGGAAUUGGUAUACUUUAUUAAAUAAUGUUACUAUUCAGUGUAUACAAAUAACUGUAUUGACUGCCGUUUGAAUUCCACCUUAAGGUGAAAAUUAGCUUCACAUGUUGUAGCAAAGUAUUGCUACUUAUUGUAAGCAAUCUGGUAUCACCUUAGCGAACUUGUCGCUUUCAAGUAAUGUUCCCAUUUGACUAUUAAACUGGUGCAUAUAUUAUUUACAGAAUGAAACGCUCGUAAGACAUGACUAUAAUAAAAUUUAGAGAUUUUAAUGCUGUUUAGUUUUGAGUUCAACUCAGAAAAUAAGAACUAGAUAUUCUUUAUAAAAUCGUGUAUCCUUCGACGUGUGCGUCUACUGAAGUUGCCACAGAAUAGAUGUUUCCUAAAGGGAUUUGGAGAGGUAGAGUGUUGACGAAUACCUCGGAUUUUUACAAAGAAAUAUACUAACAUUUUGUAUUUUCUGAAGUGCAAACCUACCAUCUCUCUGUUAUCUUUGAUCGUAAUGAGUUAUACUUCUAAGUUCCCAUAGGAUCAUUUAUCAUACAGACUUAUAAUGAAAGGAGCUAUAGAAAAAUGGUGCUAAAUGAUUCCAAAAUAGAAAAUUAUUUCAGGGGUGCUGCUAUGUUAGAUGAAACCCAAUAAAUUCAUAUUUAGUUCAUCCUGAUCAAAUUAAGUUAGAAGUCGAGCAUUAAUCAGUAAAUAUUUAAUUACAGUUAUUGACCGCGUGAGCUCCUCGUUAUUAUUUCUGAAUUCAUUUGUAUAGAAACUAUGUACUCCUUCCAAAUCAAGUCGUAAAUUUUCUUCGUUAAUAAUUAGCUUGCAAUACAUUUCUAUUUUACAGCUUGACAUCGUUUUUCUGGCAUUGCUAAUUAGUAAACACAAGAGGUAUUAGAUAAAUAAUUAUAUCAGAUAAUGAAAACAUGCAUGCAUUUUUAUUUUCAAUCUCCCUAUUGUAGAGUCACAAGUAUUGUGAAGAUUCUUACAUAUCUUGUGUUUUGCUAUACACUUCGUUCGAAUGUGCUUUCAGUUUCCUUUUUCAAAUGUUUCCCUACAUUAAUUCUUUCUAAGUUAGAUUAAAUCUAAACAUUAUGCUACUGAUCUAUCCCAUCUUUGCAAUUGCAAUAUAUUAUAGUGUACCUUCACUUUUAUGGUAAAGAAUUUUAAGUACUGUUAAAUCCCAUUCAACUCAUUUAAAGUGCUCAAUCAUGAUUAGGUAAUUAGGUAAAUUUAGCAUUGGAAUUUUUAAUUUCUCUGUUGUUACGCAGUUAUUAUUGCAUAAUUUGGUUUUGCCCAAUACCGUCCAUACCAGUGCGUUAAUAGGUGUGUGCUAAUAUACUACACGACUGUUGUUUUCUUUUUAUCCACACAUUCUUUCCGCUAUAAAGAUAAAAGAAGUUUGAUAGAUUUCUCUUCCUUAUCCAAAUUCUUUUAAAAUAUAGGAUGGUAUAUUCUGCAGGUCGAUCAUAACUGUCUCAAUCCUAGUAUCAACCUUUAACCCGCCAGAUAGCCUCUGGGUGUUGUGGACAAUGAGUGAAUCACCACAAAUGCUAUUUUUACUUUUGCUUUUCCACUGUAAAUCUCCCUGCUCAAAUCCUAUCUCUCAAUUCUUUCAGUUUGCUUGAUAUCCAUUCUAUUAUCAUAUGGGAUUGCAAAGUCUAUGCUCCUAUGCUAUUAUUAAUGUCGCACGAAGCGCAGCUUUCAAUAAAAUAUUAUUGUGUAGCAAUUUUUUAUAUAACACGUUCUAUAGUGAUUGGCUCUGAUAAGAACUAAAUUCUGUGGCUAGAUUUUUGUAGAUAUACAUCCUGUUUUGCGCUGUGAUUGAUGUUUAUUAGAUCUUAGGACAAAUUCAUUCUCUACUUCACGAUUACAUGUAGUUUCCUCUCGCAUAUGAAUGGUCAGUGUGUUCGGAUAAAAGUCACAAAAUUCUGUAGCUAUCGUUCAUAGUCACAAACUCUAGUUCGUGAUCAAACCGCUUUUCUCUCACUUCCAACUGUCAAACUUGCGUAACAUCUCAAUGCCCUCAUUUACUGAUCAGUCAUGUCCACAGUUAUAUUCUAUUGGGUUCGCACAGUGCAUUCAGCUCGGAGAAAGUUAAUCCUUUGCCUUUUUCCGACACUCUACCAUUGCUCUCUUACUAAGUUUGAUCAAUCGUUGUUUUUAUCAAGUGCAUUUUAACAGUUUAUUGUAGACGAGCUACUAUGGGUGAAACAUUUUACCGUUUCACUUUUACAUUUGUCACUCACAACUUCCUCGGUUUGUUGUAGGAACUGGAUAUUUCUGGCCGCAGAUAUUUACGUUAUUACUUUGCACAUUGAGGUUUUCAGACACAAUACCACAGUCGUAAUAGUGUUUUCAGCGUUUAAGAAAAAGAAACUGCUGCCUCACUUCCUUCUUGUUAAGCAGAGCCUGUCGAUACUAUAUUUAGAGUGGUGUGCGUUAUUCUUUGUGAGUAGCUUCCUAAUCCUGGUUCCCAGUUCAUUGUCUACUUUAGAAGAGAUGUAGCGUAUCUCAACACUGAAAUUCUUUAUGUAAUAUAUGCCUUCAUCCCAUUACUUCCAGUUAGUUUUGUUCUGCGCACCUUUCUCAUCAUUCUGUUGUACACGUAGAGAUUUUUUCUCUCAGGUUUCCAUUUCUUUUUCAUCGUGUUAAAUACUUUAUAAAGUUCAGCGAUCUAAUAUCAUGUUAUCAUGAUCAUCCUCAUCAUCAUCAUCAACAUCAUCAUCAUUAUCAUUGUUAUUAUUUACUCUUAAUCUUCAUGUUUGUUACAAUCCCUUGCCGGGACACAUCCAGCGUCCUAGGUCCAGGGAAGCAUAGGAGAUGCUGUGUAUGAGAGAAAGCUUGCGGAGGGUAUGUGGCAGGAGCAUUAGCGAAAUAUCUUUGCGUAAUACGACACAGACAAUUAAAUUGAUAAGUUUUUUUCUAAUGAUGUAGGCUGUGCAUGUCAGCACAAUCUUUUGGAUUUCUCUGAGAUAUGGUUCUCCUGGUAUGAUAUCUAGAUGUUUUUGACAUCCCUUUCUUAUCAUAACUAGGGCACCCAUCAUAAAAGGAACAGUUCUUGUUUUAAGACGUUUCAAUUUCCAGGUCCUUAUAUUUAUUUCAUUUAUCAAAUUCUUUUACAGAUAGACUUUUAUCGGAGGGAACACUUAUAGCCAUUAGUUUAUAAGUAUUUAUGUUUUUCCUUGUCAUUAAUGACUAUGGCUGGUAAAUUAUCUUGGAUCGUUCUGUCGCUAUUUAACUAGAAACUCCCAGUGGAUAGUGACGUUUUACCUUCAACGGCUGGUCCGUGAUGUUGUUCAAACCAGUAAGCAAGAGUGUUGAUUUUGUAGUGUUUACAUAUUUUCCAAUGUAAAUACAGUCCUACAUAUUCCUGGCUAUAUUUGUAUUUGCUUAGUGCGAGCA
rnacentral:lncRNA from 1 species